rnacentral:lncRNA from 1 species
AAAAAGCGACCGACAAUGAAACAAGUCACAUCAGAGUUGGAGAGGAUCAUUCAAUUGUCACAAAAGAAGGACGUUAAACAAAAUAACGAAGAAGCUGAUCAGGGCAUCACGGCUGAAGUAAUCAGUGCGAGGGAUGAUGCUUCUACAUCAAUUACUUGCAACAGUUUUCAAGUUGAUCAAGCUUUAUCGUCAUCAGAUGUCGAACCUUUGGUCCCUUUCAAGACUUGGUGAUCCAUUAAUAAGAAACGUGUCUCGACUCUGUAAGUUUUUCCUUUUUCUUUUUUCCUAAUGUUCUUGGAUAAACUUAAGACCAUUUGUUGCGGUAUUUGUUUUUGCGAAAAUGCUUUAAGCUAUCGAUCGGUGUCACUGUUUUUUCUUCUAUAUAAACCUUGCUCACGUUCUCUUAAUCUUAUUAUUUCUCUUCUCACCUUGGGAAAAUAUAGCAAAUCACAAGAAGAAAUGGAGUGAUCUUGGUGUGCCUAGAAGGGACAUCUUUGAAUGCUUGAGUUUCUGGGUCAUCCUUACCAAGAAUAUAGCGACAGUCAGAGUGUAAUAUUUCUUGCCAAGAAUCCAGCAUUUCAUUCUAGAACUAAGCAUAUUCAGAUCAAAUAUUACUUCAUCCAACAAUUGCUGGACGAUGAACAACUAAUGCUAGAAAAAGUCUAUGGAAACAAGAAUCUAGCCGACAUGUUAACCAAAGGAGUUACACUUGAUAAACUGAAGUUGUGUAAAACUUCAAUUGGUCUUCAAGGAUAAAAGAUAAUUUCAUUGUUUGUCUUCAAGUGAGAGAUUGUUAGUAAAAUAGAGACAAGCAAUGUCCCACCUCCACUAUAUAUGUGCUUAGUGGGAACAACUCAUCUCCCACUUAGCAUAAAGUGGAGGCAUAAACGGUGGCAUGAUUUAUGCCUUUUACUCCCAGCUUAGUGUGUGUGUGUAUACUCAGUGAAGAGCUGCGGGUUGUAAGAGAGAACAUUAGAGAAUGAGAGCAGAAGAAUAUAGAGAGCUAGAGUGAGUAGAGUUGAGUUGAGAAGAGUUUUCUCCUCCUCCUUGUUUGUAUUAUUUCUUUGAUUGAUUAAUACAAACCAAUAGCUCCGUGGAGUAGGCAAGUUGUCGAACCAUGUAAAUUUAUUUGUGUUUGAUUUCUAGAAUGACCCAACACACCAGUUACAUGCCAGCUAAUGUGGUCACCAUAAGAUAAUUGAUUAGUACUUAAAAGUGUAUGUUUAUCAAAGGUUUAUAUCAUUAUUUUGCAUUUGAAGUAUCAAUAACUCUUUAACUAAAGCAUGUUUUAUAAUAACAAGUCUAAUACUAUAAGAUACCUUAAUAUAUUGUAAAUGUUCAUCUUAAAUGCAGGCAUAUCAUAUAAAUCAAAGGAUUGAUUGAUGAAUUCAACUACUGAAAUUUGUGAAAUAAAGAGAGGGUGAAGCUUAGAAAAAAGAUGUUGGUGCAGUCCAAACUAGAAUACUGUUCGGUAAUUGGGUCAAAUCUCGAGUUCUAGAUGUCCAAAUGACCUCAAAUUUUUACAUAGAUUUGGUAAGACAUAGGCCUACAACUUUCAUAUUUUCAUUAAGAUCUAAAAAGGCCGUUUGCAAGUCCAAAUUAUAGCAACAACGGAGAAGUCCGAAUAUGUCCUGCAGCCCGCACACUGUUCAGUGUUUGGCCCAUAUCUAGAGUUAUAGAAGUCCAAAUGACCUCUAUUUUUUUUUCCUGGAAAUCUGAGUUAAUUUCCUACAACUUUCAUGUUUUCAAGUGGACCCAUUUCUAAUGCUAGCAUUUUUGUUUUAUUCAGACAAGAAGAUAAGGAUUUUCACCAAGUCAAGAGUUGGCCACCCACUCAAUAAUUACUCAUCAAAUCAAUAAUUCUAAAUUUUGGCAUAUAAAAGGAGGCAUUUUCCAUGUAUUUAGGGGCUUGGUUGUUCAGAUCAAGUUCAUGCUCUUUAUUUCUCUCUUUAUAUUUUUUGUAAUUCUUAAGUUUUGCUUUCAUUAAUAUCUUGUUUAUGCUUUUCAUUUUCUUAGUUAACUUGUAUCUUUUUUAUGUUCUUGUUUUGUUUAUUUAUGUUUCUCUUCUUCAUUAUGUUUAACUAAGUUUAUUAUGUCAAGGUGAAAAGGUUACACCAAUGGUGUAAGAAUAAGUAUGGUGUAAACUCAACAUGGACCUUAAUGUUUAAUAUUAACAUGUCUUAUCUUUUUAUCUUACUAAUUCUUAAUAUCUUACUUGUUAAAUGGUUAAUCUAGAUUUGUGUUGUAUAACACUUGGUACAACAAAUGCUUGACACUCUCAUAGCCCAACCGUAUGGUAUUACCUACACCUGGGGCUAUGAAAGGAACUUGAUUUGUUAUUAACAUCAGUUAACAUCAUGAAUUCCUGACAAUAUUUAAAAGUUUGGUGUUAUGUAAAUAAGAUAAUUAAUAUGAUCAUGUUAAUAAUUUAUAAUGAGCUAUUAAUAACAAAUCAUCUGAUUGGAACCUCCUUCGUGUGUGGUUUCCAAAUUGAGUAAUAAGAGUUUAUACUAUACUUGUUUGAAAUACCAUUGGUGGAUCCUCUAACCUUGACAUUUAUUUUUAUCAUUGUUUAAUCCUUAUAUUAAUCUUCCAUCUCAAAGUUCUCAUUAAUUUCUUCCUCCUCUUCUUUUUACUACUACUACUACUACUACUACUACUACUACUAGUAUUAUUAUUUACAUUCUUGUUAUAUUUUAUGUACGUUAAGUAUGCUCUGUAUUUGAUCAAGGAUCCUGACAUUGUUGGUCUUGCCUUGUUCAUUCGCAUCAGAAAUCUGUUUAUAUUAUAUAAUAUAUCUUUUUGAUCUUUUCAUAAACUUAGUAUAUAGGCUAGAAACCUGUGACCCGAUCUUUUAGAUCAUUCUUAGGUAUAAUAACGCAACAUACUGAUUAUUAUUAUUAUUAUUAUUAUUAUUAUUAUUAUUACUAUUACUAUUAUUGUUAUUGUUGUUGUUGUUGUUGUUGUCGUCGUCCGUCGUCAUCUUAUUAUUUAUAAUUUAUACAAUUAACCUCUCUGUGGUUCGACCUCGGUCUUGCCGGGUUAUUUAUUACUUUGACACUCCUGCACUUGGGAGAAGACAUCAAUCCUUUGGUCGUGUCAAUAAUCAACGAAGAAGUUGAGAGGUUGAAGUAAGAGCAUCACAGAAAGAAGAGUAAAUAAAAUUUUUUUAUCAAAAUGCCUGCCCAAAGACAAGCAAACCACUAUUUGAUAACACAUGUCACAUCAAGAGAAAGAAAAUGCAGCGACGCAUCAAAAGAGAUGGCGGAAAGACAUAUUCCAUCACCAGACAACGUCUCAUGCUCUAGCAGUUUUUAAACAUUUAAUAUUAAUUAUAUUUUUGUAAGAAUAUCUUAAUAUCCUCUGUCACACCUGAACAUCGCAGCGGCCUUAAAAAUUAAUUAUAUUCAUGGAAAGAACAGAUUUCUGGCAUCCUGCUCUUUGAUGGGAAUAUUCUUUGUUUAAGGAGUCGUCACCUAAUAUUACGGUUACUAGGAACCCUAACUGGUCAACAGAGAUUCUAUGGUCCGAGACUGGUUACGUAAAAGAGAAGAUAUUAUCACCCCUUAAACGCCCCACCUAAGGUAGGCUGCAUUGCUGAUCUUUGUUAUUAAUUGCUAAUAUUUUUUUGUUGGUUUGUACUAUGAUUGUUUGUGUAAUAUUCCUGACUCUGGCGCCAGUGAAUAUUCAAUUACGGAUAUUUUCAACUCUGGCGUUAGUAAAUAUUACGUAGGUAUCAAAAUAAAUAAAUUUAUAUCAUCAUUUUUAUUAUAUUCCUGACUCUGGCGUCAGUGAACAAAUAAGUAAAAAUCAAUUUAUUUUUUACGCAUACGCAUUAUUUUAUUUUUUAUGUAGCUAAAUAAAACAAAAAAAAAUAAAAUAAAUUUACAUUGGUAUUUUUUAUUCCUGACUCUGACGUCAGUGAAUAUACCAAAUAAAUUUAUUUUAUUUUAUCUUAAGUUAGCUUUUUUGUAGCACGCACAUUUUUAUAUAACCAAGUAAAAUACAAUUAAAUAAAUUUGAAUCAGUAUUUUUAUUUUGACUCUGGCAUCAAUGAAUAAAUAAAAAAAACAUAAAUUCAUAUUUAUAUUUUUUUUACAUAUACAAUUUUUUUUACAUUUUUUAUUUUUUUUUUACAAUUUUGGGCUGGGGAUAUAUAGCACUUGCUACAGUAGCAAGUGAAUUAUAAUUCACAGCUACUGUAGCGUGAAUUAAAAUGUAGAAAGGAAAAAUGCAAAGAAUAUACCUGUGCAGGGAGGCGAAGCCGAAGACGUUGGCGAUGAAUGGGUUGGUCGAACGGACGCUCUCUGCUCUGCUUCUUCCUGUUUUUCACUUUCUCUCUCGAAGUCUGCCUGAUGCUGGAGCUUGAUGACGAAGACGAUGGCGAAGGUAUGCUGGUUUUCCAAAGCUACCUUCUCUCCUUCUCUGUUUCUGUCUAUGUUGUAUGUGAUAGGUCCCAAUCAAGAACAAAUAUAAUAUGAGCGAAUUGUAACUUUCUUAGGGUGAAAGCUAAACCACAAUUGUUUGUAUUAAUUCUCUGCCUUUAUUUCAUGCUAACGUUCCAAUAAAUAGAGUUUCAGCUUAACAAAUUAGCCUCAACUUCAGGAACUAACUAGCCUUAUUUUAAGGGAAAUACGUAACAACUUUGAAUGAGUAAAACAAUGCAAAACAACAGCAAUGGAAAGAAAUAUAAAAACUGAUACUUGGUCUUCACUUCAAGCUAAAAACUUGGGAUUCUUCUUAGGGAUUCUUUCAGAUCUUCUUGGCCUAUCAAUAUUCCCCUCACUGACAGGAACCUUGUCCUCAAGGUUCAAUGAAGGAAAUUGUGUCUGUAACAACGUGGUGUCGCACCCCUAAAAAUCCGGGCGCGCGGCAUCGGCUGUCGAUUUUUCUCGUUUAUGAUGUUUUGCUGAAUUUGAUUCGUGGGAGUCGCCACCUAGUAAUUGAUUUCGGGCUACUAGGAAACCGGAUGUACUGGUCUUGUUAGAGAUUCGUGGGUAAGGGACUGGUUGUGGUUAGGGAAGGUAUUAGCACCCCUAACGCACCCUACCUGAGGUAAGCUGCUUCGUGGCUUUGACGUGUUAAAGAAGUUUUAAUAAUUGUCUUUUCAUCGGAAAUUAGAAAUAUCACUUACGUAUAAGUUAAUAAUUCUUAACCGUGAUCCAAUCAAAAUAUUAAAUUCUUCUUUAAUAUAUUUACAAUUUUAUCCUAAAUAUAUAUAUAUAUAUAUAUAUAUAUAUAUAUAUAUAUAUAUAUAUAUAUAUAUAUAUACAAAUAAGUAAAACAAAAUGCAAACAACACACCUUCACUAUUUUCAUUUCUUUUCUUUUUCUUUUCUUUUUUUCUUUUCUUUUCUUUUACAUCCACAAUACAAAUACAAAUACAAAUUAAAAUUCAAAAUAAAUAAAUAAAAAUACAUCAAUACACACAUUCCCUUUUUUAUUAUUAUUUUCCUUUCUUUUCUUCUUUUUUUACAUCACAAUACCAAUACACAUACAAAUACAAAACAAAUAAAUAAAAAUUACAUUAAUUAAUUCAACAUUUACACAAUAGUCCCUAAAACUCCAAAAAUUGCAGGGAAGGACUUCUGGGACCCGGAACAGUGAUGGGAACAGUGGCGGCGCGUCUUCCCACGCGCCACCGUCACUAGCGGCGCGUGGGUUCACGCGCCGCCAAUGGAAAACCUGAAAAACAGAGGGGGCUGGAACGACUCCUUCUCCUCUUCCUUUCCUCGCCGGCGGUGAAGGUCACCGCCACCUGCAACAAGAGCAAAAACUCACAAACAGCAGUUCGUUUUAAUUUUUUUUCUUUCCGUUACAGAUCUGCUUCUCUUUGAUCUGAUUCUCUGCAGAUCGGUUCGCCCUUCUUCAGAUCGACUUUGCCCCGGGUCAGCCUCUACUUCGGGCGGCGCUGUUGGGGUCGCUGCUGUGGUCGUUGUUGCUGUCGGAGGCUGGACGGAGAGGAGAGGUCGGGGAAAAUGGUGAUGCAACCAGCGCGAUGGGGGAGCGAGGGGGAACUGCUCUGGCUUCUGUCCGGCGUGUAGCUGGUUGGAGGCGGCGAGAGCUGGGAAGAAGGAAUGGCCGAAAGAGGGGAGUGGAUGAUGGCUUAGAAAUGGCCGACCUCCGGGGAGAAAAAGAAAAGAAAAAAAAAGAUGGGGGGAGGGGAGUCUGUGUCCACGGCUGGGAAGGAAAAAACGAGGGAGGGGCUGCUGUGAUGCCGGUGACAAAGCUGGCAGCCGAGUGAGGGAGAGGAAAAAAUUAAAACCGGGGGGGGGGGUUUCUGUGAGAAGAAGAAAAAAUGGCUUUGGGGCUGGGGGGCGGCGGCCGAGAUUGAGCUGAAAAUAAGGGGGGGCUGUGGGAGCAAAAAAUGUCAAACCGGGGAAGGGGCUGGUUCGGUUUACAGGGCAAGGUGACCGGUUCCAAGAGAAAGGAGAAAGGGAGGGCUGCCGUAUGUGUGAUGGUGGCUGUGUUUGGCUGAGGGAGAUAAAAAAAUUUGUUGCUGAGACUUUCGGUUUCAGAGGGAGAGCCCCCCAAAAGAGAGGCUGUGGGGCUGGUUUUUGAGGGGAAAGAGACGAAAAUUAAAUAGCAAAGGGGCUGUCUUUGUUUUUGCACAGGGUAGGGGGAACGACUAGUUUCGGGUGAAGAGAAAAUUCUUAGGUUGCCCCCUUCUUUCAAAAUUCAAAAUUCCCUACACAUAGAUAAAAAUAUUGUUUCGGCCUCAAAAUUGGUCCCUUAAUUUUCUUUUUUUUUUUUGUAAAAAUCUGAUUUUUCUUGUUUUUUUGUAUUUUUUUGAAAACGAGCAAUAUCAACGUCGACUCAAAUACAAAAAAUAAAUUAUUUUAAAAAUGACGAGUGAAAAGUCGAACACGUUCGAAAGACCCUUAAAAAUUUUAAUUUUUUUUUUAGACGACGUUGAAAAUGCUAAAAUGACGAAAAUAUAUUAAAAAACAUAUUUUUUUGGAUUUUCUUUGUUUUUCUCUAUUUUUGGAUUUUUUUUUGAAAAUAUAUCAAAAACAUGGGUCAAAAAUUGGGUAGCAACACGUGGUAUUCUCCCAGGUAGCAUCAUCAUCAGAUAACUGCUGCCAUUUGACCAGACUUUCUUCCACAAAUUUAUCCCCCUGUUUAAUCCAAUGGUUAUCAAGGAUCUUCUCUGGCAUGAUAGAAACUGCACCUUCAUCAGAAAUUGGGGGCAACUCUAAUGUAACCUGUGGAGGAUCCCCAAUAUAUUUCUUUAAAAGAGAAACAUGAAAAACGGGGUGGAUCCGUGUGCUGGCUGGUAACUGUAAACGGUAUGCAACAUUGCCAAUCCUUUGCUCAAUACAAUAAGGCCCGUAAAACUUAUUUGCAAGUUUUUGGUGAACUCGUUUAAAUACGGUUUGUUGGCGAUAAGGGUGUAACUUUAAGAGAACCAUAUUACCAACAUGAAAUUCAACAGAACGCCUGGAUUUGUCAGCUGUUUGUUUCAUGCGAUUAGCAGCUCUGUCCAAAUUCAUUUUCAAGUGCUGGAGUAACUCAUCCCGAUGUAAAAGGCUUUGAUCAACUUCAUUCACUCUAGAUAAGCCAUCCGAAUAUAGAGGAAUGGAAGGAGGAAGUCGGCCAUACAAUGCUUGAAAGGGUGUCAUGCCUGUGGAGCUGUGGUAGGCAGUAUUAUACCAAUAUUCAGUCCAAGGUAAAUAACUAUACCAUUUUCGUGGCCAUUGAUGGACAAAACAACAGAGGUAUUGUUCAACACAACAGUUCACAACCUCGGUUUGUCCGUCCGUCUGUGGAUGGUAGGCAGAACUCAAUUUGAGCUGGGUUCCUGACAUUGUGAAGAAUUCUUGCCAGAAUUUGCUGAUAAAGAUGGGAUCACGGUCACUAAUGAUGGACUUCGGCAUGCCAUGGAGUUUGACAAUGUGUUCAACAAAUUGUUCAGCUACUGUCUUUGCAGAAAAUGGAUGGGACAAAGCAACAAAUUGUUCAACACUGUCUUUGCCGUGAGAAGAGGGAAGACCUUCAAUAAAAUCCAAACUGAUAUCUUCCCAUACCUGACAAGGAAUGGGCAGAGGCUGAAGCAAUCCUGCUGGAGCAAGAGUUGCCGUUUUGGCGCGUUGACAAACUUCACAUUGCAUAAUGUAAUCCUGCACUGAUCGAUACAUGGAUGGCCAAUAAAAUUGUUGACUUAAUCGCUUGAAGGUUCUCAACACUCCUGAAUGUCCUGCCAUUUUACUGUCAUGAAAUUCUUGUAGCAGCAGGUUGCAGAUAGGUUGUGGAAGUACCACUCUUUGUUUAUAGAAACAUAAACCAUUUUGCAUGGAGUAUGGACCAGCAGGAUCAAUAGUUAAUUGUUGUGUAACUUGGUGCAUAUAUGGAUCAUCCUGUGCAGCUCUUUUGAUGUCCUCCCAAAGAGUGAACUGAGGAACAAAUAUGGAGUUGAGGAGAGGACUAUCAGGACGCCGUGAUAGAGCAUCAGCUGCUGAGUUCUCACGUCCAGGCCUAUAGAUUAUUUCAUAAUCGUAAACCAACAACUUGGCAACCCAUUUUUGUUGCUAUGGAGUAGCCACACGCUAUUCCAAGAAAUAUUUGAGGCUCCUGUGGUCGGUUUGAAUGAAGAACUUUUGUCCCAAGAGAUAUGGCUUCCAAGACCGAAUUGCUUCAACAAUUGCCAGCAUUUCUUUAGCAUAAAUGGACCACGUCCGUUUGCUGAUGCCUAAAGCACGACUCAUGAAUGCAAUAGGACGACCUUGCUGCGUAAGAACAACACCAAUUCCAUCUCCUGAGGCAUCAAUUUCAAUAACAAAGGUGCCAUUAAAAUUAGGCAUGGCUAGAGUGGGGGUCGUUGUCAUGGCUUGCUUCAGCAAGUUGAAUGCAGCUCCUGCCUCCUCAGUCCAGUGAAAGUUACCCUUUUUGAGGAGAUUGUAACCUGUCAAGCCAACAGCCCAUAAUUCUGAACAAAUUUCCUGUAGUAACCUGUCAAGCCUAAAAAUCCACGUAACUCAGUAAUGUUAACAGGCUGUGGCCAAGCUACCAUGGCCUCAAUUUUUUUGUUGUCGACCUUGACUCCUUGGUGUGUCACGAUAUGACCCAAAUAUUCUAAUUCUUGUUUGCCGAAAUCACACUUGCUAGCUUUAAUGAAAAACUGAUAUUGUUGCAAAAUAUCUAAGGUGAUCCUGACAUGUUGUAGAUGGGAUUCCCAAGUAAGACUAUAAACAAGAAUGUCAUCAAAGAAGACUAAUAUAAAUUUACGAAGAUGAGGGCGAAAUAUGGAGUUCAUAGUGGCUUGAAAAGUUGAUGGGGCAUUGCAUAAACCAAAAGGCAUCACUAGAUAUUCAAAAUGGCCGUUAUGAGUUCUGAAGGCAGUUUUUGGAAUAUCGGGAGCAUGAACUCGUACCUGAUGAUAACCAGCUCUCAAAUCUAGUUUGGUGAAAUAGGCUGCACCAUAUAGCUCAUCAAGCAUAUCAUCUACGGUGGGUAUGGGAAAUCUAUCUUUGAUGGUAGCUGCAUUCAGUGCUCGGUAGUCUGUGCAAAAUCGCCAAGUGCCAUCUUUCUUUUUCACCAAUAAAACCGGGGACGAGAAUGGGCUGGUACUGGAUCGAAUGACACCCAUGGUGAGCAUUUCGUUGACUUGUUUUUCAAUCUCUGUCUUUUGAAAAUGUGCAUAUCUAUACGGCCUCACGUUGAUGGGUUCAGUGCCUUCUUUGAGGUUUAUGUGAUGAUCAUCAAUGUCUCGUUUGAGGUGGUAGUGUUGUUGGUUCUUUAAAUACAUCUGUGUACUCCUUCAAUAUUGUUGCAUGUCAGGAUUGCUGUCCACCCGGUGACCUUCUCAUUGGACUGUAAAUAGAUAGCAAACAACAAUUUGACCUUGACGCAUUUCUUUAGUAACUGAUGCCAAUGUUGUUGCUUGAAUGGGUUGGCUGAUUCCUUGUAAUCUUCGCUGCUGAUUAUCCCACUGGAAAUCCAUGGUUAAUUGUUUCCAGUUGCAAAUCAGAACCAAGCAUCUCUAGCCAUUGAUGCCUAACACCAUAUCCAGUCCUACUAAAGGUAAGGAAUAGAGGGAGAAGUGAAAACUGAAUAUCUUGCACAUUUACUUUUACCUCAUCAAAACGACAUUGACAGAAUAGUUGUUCCCCAUUUGCUAUGCGGACAACAAAUGAUUUCGUUGGUACCACUGGAAGUCUUAGCAAUCUAGCUAUCUUCUCACUCAAAAAAUUAUGGGUGGAUCCACUGUCAAUCAAAACCAUCACGUGUUGAGACCCUAUGGUAGCUGCUACUCGCAUGGUUUGAGGGGACGUCCAACCUGUUAAUGCAUGCAAGGAGAUUUCUGGUUCAACUUGAUCUCCCAUGGUAUCUGUUAUCUGAAAUUCUUCUUCUUCCAUUUCAUAUUCUGCAGGUUGACACUCAAGAAGCAAAAGUUGAGGCCUUUGGCACUUAUGUCCAGGAGUGAAUUUACUGUUGCAGUUGAAACAUAGUCCAUAUGCCCUUCGUUUCUGCAUUUCAUCCCAGCUCAAUCUCUUUGGUGCAUUAGCUGGAAUAGGAUGAUUAACUGGAGUGGUGGUAGUGGAUGUGCGGUUCAGCAGUGGAGGUCGUGUGAAUCUCCUUGUUCUGGCCAGUUGUUCAUCUCUUAUUCUUGCUAAGUUGAUGGCUUCCUUCAAUGUUCUUGGUUUAAACAUUCGAAUUCCAUCUGCUAUUUCAGACUUCAAUCCUCCCAUGAAUGUGCCGACAAGAGCCUUUUGUGUCCAACCAUGAACACGGUUACCUAAUCUUUCAAAGUCUUUUUGGUAGUCUCGCAGGGAUCCCACCUGACGAACUCUAGACAAUGCCUCAUCAAAGUCCUCACAGUCUGUUGGUCCAAAACGAGCCAACAAUUCUUCUUCAAAGAAUUCCCAGGUCACCAAUCGGCCUUCCUCUCUGUAAGUUUUAUGCAUCCAUUGCCACCAUUGGUUAGCUUCCCCUUCAAGGUGAAAAGAUGCUAGUGAUACCUUCUGAUUAUCAUUUGUGCCUUGAAAUUCAAAGAAUUGGGCUACUCUGCUCAGCCAUUCGGUUGGAUCUUCUCCGGAGUAUCUUGGGAAUGCCAGCUUUGCCAUAGUGGAUGAAAAAUUUUGUAUGUUGCUAUUGUUCCCUUCUCGGAUUGAAUGAAAGGAUCCUUCUCGCUGGUUGUUGCUAGACACUUCUCUGUUUGAUAGAAAAGCUUCUGAUAACCUGUUGAUAGUUUCUUCCAAAUGGUGCAACUUAUCUGCUAUGCCUAACUCCAGCUGCUGCAUUCCAUCUUGAACUCCACCAAGCCCAGCUUCCAAAGCUUCGAUCCUCUCUUUGUUGGACGCCAUUGUAACCUGGCUCUGAUACCAAUGAUAAGUCCCAAUCAAGAACAUAUAUAAUAUGAGCGAAUUGUAACUUUCUUAGGGUGAAAGCUAAACCACAAUUGUUUGUAUUAAUUCUCUGCCUUUAUUUCAUGCUAACGUUCCAAUAAAUAGAGUUUCAGCUUAACAAAUUAGCCUCAACUUCAGGAACUAACUAGCCUUAUUUUAAGGGAAAUACGUAACAACUUUGAAUGAGUAAAACAAUGCAAAACAACAGCAAUUGAAAGAAAUAUAAAAACUGAUACUUGGUCUUCACUUCAAGCUAAAAACUUGAUUCUUCUUAGGGAUUCUUUCAGAUCUUCUUGGCCUAUCAGUAUGCUCCUGCAGUUUCUUUUCUUUUUUUGUUCAUUCUCCUUAGUCUUUCUAUUCUCUGGUUUGUGUCUUCAGUCCACUCUCUCCUAGUCUCCUGUUCGUGUCCGCCCUACCUCUACUGAAAAGAGAUGGUUGCUACUGCUAUGGUUGAUGCAUGCUAGCUGAGGCUACUGUUGCUGAUCCAGGAGAAAGGGGCUGCGACUAACAGUCUAUUCGUGAACUCCCUUCCUGUGAGGCGGUCUUGGCAGAGAGAUGGACAGUGAUGGGGAAGGUAGAACAAGUGUGUAGUUUUUCUUGUUUGAGGGGGGAAGGAGCGCGUGUGCAGUUUGCUGGAAUUGCUGGAGUUCUUCUGCUGCUGCUGGCUAGAAGAGGCGUACCUUACUGGUUGUUGAUGCACGCUCACAAUGCAUGGAGAGGCUGAGAUGAAGGAUGAUGGUUAAUGGGGAGAGUGAGAGCGGGGAGGAUGAAAAAGGAAAAGGCCGAGGAGGGGGAAGGUGUGGCUGGUUUCAGACCAGGGAAGAACAGAGAAAAAAGUUGGGGGGGGGGGGAGGCAGCGGCGGUUAGUCUAGGAUUCUGCCGUGCACCCUCUGUUUUUGUAAAUAUCGUUUUUUGUAGGGUCUCGGGUAAUGGCCUUCUCUUGGGUUUUUUCUCCUUUUUUUUUUUUUGCUGGGUUUCUCUCCAAUUGUCCUCCCUUCUUUGCAUAGUCUGGGAUCAGUAUUUAUAGUGCAAGAGUCCCAUCACUUGUAAGAAGUAAAGUCUCAAUCAAACUCAUUCUCUUUUUUGAAAUUUAAAUUAGAAUCGAAUUCGAAAUCAGACAACUAUCAUUAUCUUGAAGGUAAGGAUUAUCUUGAAGAUAAGGAUUAUUUCAAAAGUAAGGAUUAUCUCAAAGAUAAAGAUAGAAUGGCAAAAGCACAUUAUAGUCCUUAAUUUUCACACAAGUUGACAAAUCACACUUUUCAUCGAAAUAAAUCUCUGAUUUUUUAAUUUUAUAUUUUAAACCUUGUAAAAAUUAAAUUAAAAGCCAAUGGGCCAAAAUUGGGUUAUGACAUCCUUAAUGAUAAAAAAAAAAAGAAGAAAAAACCAACAACAACUUGAAUAAAAAUAGGUAUUGUAAGAUUUAAAACAAUCACCAAAAGAUUUCAACUUAUACUCGAAACAACACAAAUCAUACAUUUAUUUUUGGUAUGUUGGUAGAUGAGAGAAUUGGUGGAGUACUUCGAUAAAGUCAACUUUUGGAGUUUUGCCCAGGCGUGUAUAUAUAUAAUUAUAUAUCCUUUAAUUUUGGAUUUUGACUGGGGCAACGGGGACUCUUUCUAGGUGUGACCCUAUUUUGUAAUUAUAUUAGAAUGUGUAAAUGAUUGAAGUCCUAACUUGUAAAAAAUGGUUGAAGUCGUAGCUAGGGGAAAUAACCAUACGAGAUUAAUAAUAAAGUGAAAGAGGUUUUUGAUAGAGGACAUAAACAUAGCUAAAAAAAAAUCCUGAUUUUUCUGUAGAGAAAUUACAAAGAAAAAGGUGUAAAUUUCGGACAGGCAAACAUGCUCAGUUUGACAUGUUCAGUGUUUGAGUAUACUCCUAUAUAUGAGCCGACGUCUUCUACAAAUAAUACAAGAAAGACAGAAUAUUCCAAAAGAACUGGGACCACAGAUGUGGGUCUACACUAUUAAGAAAUACCUAUGUAAAUAUUAAUAAUAUCUAUACUUGCAUAAAAUUAGCAAAAAUCAUAUCCAGCUAAUUUUGGAUCACGGCUUCAAAGCCUUAAUAGUAGGAUUGAUAGCAAGUUAUAAUUAUAUAUAUAUUGUACCGUUUGAUCUAUGAAAUACAACAAACCAUUCAGUAACUUAUUUUUAUGAUACACCAGUUACAUGCUAGCGGAUGUGGUCACCAAUUCACCAUAAGAUAAUCAACGAAGAAGUUGAGAGGUCGGAGUAAGAGCAUCACAUAAAGAAGAGUAAACAAAAACAAUCAUCAAAGUAUAACAAUUAAAAAAACAAUUGAAAAACUAGCACCCUUUGAGUUCGUAUUAAUUAAUCUACUAAUCAUUAAGAUACACUCCUAAAAAUAUAUUUUUAACAUUACUAUAUUAAAAUGAUCUAAAAAUACUAAAAAAUUAAUUUAAAGUAGAAACAAUAUUUUUAUUUUUUUAAAAAAACUUUGAAAUGAAAAAACAAAUGGACACUUGGUCCCUUGACCACUUCCAGGGAGCACUAGCGUAUAGUGUAUUCCAAGGAGGGAUUUUUCUUUUCCCUGUCUGUUUCUCCUAUUGGUUUCUUCCACAUCAUUUAUUUUAGUCUAAUUACAUCACAUUUGGGUUAAUUUUGGAUUACUAUUAAAGAAAGAUCAAAGAAAGGACACUCAAGACUUCAUUGACCUGAUCAUCUCGGAAGUGGUCAUUUGAUGAGUGUUUUCUGGCAGUCUCUCUUUGCUAUAUAUUGUCUACCAGGAAAUGAAGCUGCACAACUCAAAAUUAGUGGGAGAGAGUUGGUUUGGAGAAGGAGCUUCUUUGUAUACAUAUAUUAAGUUGGGUGGUGGUGUAUAGAAAAUGAUACUUCAGAGGAGGGUGUUUUUGGUGAUGAUGUUGCUGCUAGUGGCUGCAGUAACAGGAGCAACAGCAAAUCCAGAUGUGAGAGAUGGCUGCCAAGAAAGGUGUGGGGAUGUUAAUGUUCCUUACCCGUUUGGGAUUGGGGAACCAAGAUGUGCCAUGAAUGCAAACUUCUUUCUAGAUUGCACUUCUACUGAUGAACUGUGGUUAGGAGAGGACAUGCCUGCUCGCAAUAUAUCAUUGCUGAAUGGCACAGUCACUGUAAGCAUUUUUAUACCGUUCGAUUGCAAUAACACCUCACAAUCGGUAUCAAAGCCUACACAAGCUAUGACAUUGCAGCCGGUGUUUUCCAUUCCGUCUAUUAAACUUGGACCAGCCUACACAUUUUCAGACUCUCGAAAUGUGUUCACAGCAGUUGGCUGUGAUACAAUUUCCAUGGUGACCAACGAGGAGGAGACAUCCGGGGUUGGUUGUCUCUCUUUAUGCUCUGGAAAUGUUACCAUGUCAAAGGAGAAUCCCUGCUUGGGUUCUGGAUGCUGCCAGACCUCGAUUCCCAAGGGUCUCAAGUCUCUGAAUAUUGCCGUUCAGAGCAUUCGCGACUACGAGAAAUUUUCCGAAUUUAACCCCUGUGGCUUUGCAUUCCUUGAGAACAAAGACUCCCUUGACCUGUCGGAUUGGCCACUCUCUCGAACUCCAACAGAUUUGGAUACAUCAAAUGUUGUGAUCGAAUGGGUAGCUCAAAACGAGACAUGCGAAGAGGCUCAGGCCAAUAAGAGUUCAUAUGCUUGUGGCAUCAAUACAAAUUGCUAUUACUCUGAUAAUGGUCAAGGAUAUCGUUGCGCAUGCAAUGCAGGAUUCGAAGGAAACCCAUAUCUUGAAGGGUGCCAAGGUAAAGCGACAGAUGCCUUUACGAAUAUUGAUGAAACAAAACAACUUCUAAAUGCCAUAUCUUGUUCAUUCCUCUUCUCAGAUAUUGAUGAAACAAAACAACUUCUAAAUGCGUAGACUAAAUUGUAUUGAAUUAAGGUAAACUCAUAAUUUGUUAUGUUUGCAGAUAUUGAUGAGUGCAAGGAUCCUGAAACAUACAUGUGUCAUGGUAAAUGCCACAACACCUUCGGGGAUUACGAAUGUAAAUGUCCGCUUGGCAUGAGCGGCGAUGGCAAAAGAGGUUGCAGUGGGUUUGGGAUCAUCACAAUUAUUAUUUCAGGUAAUUAAUGUGCAUCCACUUCAAUACGUGGCAGUGGCAGGUGUUCCUUUUUUUUUCAACUAUCCUAUACGUAAUUUAUUAAUCCAAAACAUUUACUUUUGGGUUCAAAACAAAAGAACCGAACUAAUAUAUAGUUCACUUACAAAAUUAGACUAAUCGAAAAACUAGUUUAUUUUUUAUUUUAAAAAAUAUUCAAAAUAUUAAAAUCUUCAAUCGUAGAGUUUUAUUUGAAAAUAAUUGAAAAGUGAUGGCACUUCCCUCGCUACUGCUUUGUUGCAUAUGCCACUCAAAGUCAAUAUUUAAGAACAAGUUAUUCUAACAUAGGGUUUAAAAAAAAAAAAAAAGUUUACCACGUUUGUCUUUAUUGAAAAUCUUAUGAUAAUUCAAAAAAAAAAAUUCUUCAAAAUUUUAAAGGAAUAAUUAUUUUUUCUUGAAAAGCUAUGACAACCUUUUCGAAGAUGCUCAAAAAGUGGAUCAUCUUUGUCUUUCAUGGAAAUUUCAUAAAAUAUAAAAAAUUAAUUUUUUAAAACAAAUUUAAAUUCGUUAAAACUUUAAAGGAAUCAGAAAAUUUCAAAAUUGCUUAUUGAUUAACAUUUUUUUUGCAAUAUAAUAAUGAUUAAUGACUCAAACGUAUAAUAUGUAUAGAUAUUCAUAUCUAUUAUAUUAAAACUUAUAGAUUUUUUAUAAUUGAUGAAUUGAAAAUAUACUUUUAUAUAUAGUGACAUAUUGAACAGUAGGGUUAGACUGAGCUAUUUAUCUUAUUAAGUAUUAAAAUUGUUUAGGAACAUGGUACAACCUAUAUUAAAAUUAUAAGUUAUUGCUUAUGAUGUUUGUUAUUAUUAUUAUUAUUUUAUUAAUGCGGGUUUACCAUCUUCCAGAAGAGACUAUUAAUGUGAAUAUUAAAUAACAACAAAUCAUGAAAUUAUUAUUAUUGGUUUUUUUUUUCCCUGAGAAAUGCAGUUGUUGUUGAGUUGUUGGAGUGUUGUUACUGCUCCUUGGAGGUUGGUGGCUGUACAAAAUUGUUGUAACCCAUUUUUGGGUCCCCCUGAAAAAUAAAAUAAAUAACCAAAAGAGGUUAGGAAAAUAACCGGAAGCAGAAGCGCCCGGAAAGCAGUCAGAAAAUUGGUCAAGGAAUUUUAAAAAUACAAGGAUUGAAUUUUUUUACAGUAUAUUCUUGAAGGAUGAAAGCCCUAUUGAGAAGGAAAAUUUUUGAAUUUUAGGGAGAAAAGCCCAAAUUUGGAUUUUUAUGGGCUUAAUUGGAUUUUUAUGGGCUUAAUUGGAUUUUUAUGGACUUAAUUGGAUUUUUAUUUGAAUUUAUAGAAGAUUUGAUUCCAAGAAAAAUUGAUUUUUAAGUCAAUUUGGGCUUUAAUUUGGAGAAAUUUAAGUUCUGGGGCCAAAAUAUAUUUUUUAGGAAUUUAUUGGGUCAAAUCAGGGGCUCAAUUGCAUAAAUAUUGAAGUUUAAGGGCCAAUUAGGGGUUUAAUUAAGAAAAUUCGAAACCAGGGACCAAAUUGCAAGAGGCGCGUAAAUGGAGGGGCUGCAAUUAUUCGGUUCAGGGGCCUAAUUGAAGAAAUUGAAAGUUUAUUAAUCAAUUAGGGGCUCAAUUGCAUAAAUCAGAGGCCAAGGACCAAAGUGAAAAAGGCGGCCAACAAGGGGGACGGGGACCGAAUUUGGAGGACUGAUUUGAGGUUUAGCCGUUUAAAUGAAACGGCGCGUUUUACCCAAAACGACGCCGUUUCAUAUAUAUAUAAUAUAUAUAAAAAAAAAAAAAAAAAGAGGAAGAUCAGAACGGUGUCGUUUUGAACGACACUGUUCAUCUUCCUCCUCCCCCGUUUCAACAGAACAGAAACGAAAGAAAAAAAAGGGAAAAAUUUCAAAACUUCCCGCCUCUCUCUCCUCGUCCCCACCACCACCACCGAAAGCAAGAAUGGCCGACCAGCCGUUGCGUGAUUGAAGGCGCACUAACGAAGGCACGCCGUUUCCUUUUUGCUUAUAAAUAGAGAGAGGCCGAGAGGAGAGAGAGGGGACCGAAGAGAGAGAAGAGAAAAAAAAAAAGAGAGGGACGAGACCGAAGAGAGAGAUAGAACCAGUGAGAUAGAGGGGAAGAGAAAAGAAUAAAAAGAAAAACAAAAAGAAAAGAAAACAGAAAACAAAGAGAAAGGAAGGAAAGGAAGAGGGGAAGAGGAAGGAAAUCUGUUCUCUCCGCCGCAGCAACACCACAGCGCCGCCGUCCUCGAGGCCACGACACCGCAGCUCCACCAACGGUCGCCUCCACGCCAGGUGCACACCCCCCCCCCUUUGCAUUUUUUUUCUUUUGUUUUCGCCUGGCCUCCUGCAUGUUGCAUGCAGGAGGCGGGGGGGGGGGAGAAAAAUAAUUCUCCCCCCCCCGCUGGGUUUUAAGGCACUGGGCCAGCCCGAUGCUGGCCCAGCCUUGUAAGUCUGGGCCGGUCUUGGCCCAGACUGUAGAAGUUACGGGCCGAGACCGGCCCACGUUAGUUACGGGCCGAGACCGGCCCAAUAUCAUUGCGGGCCGAGACCGGCCCGCCCCCUUUAUUAUAUAUUUUUUUUUGGGCUGAGCCUGGCCCAUUUAUUUGGGCCGGCCCAGCCCUAUAAUAUAUUAUAUAUUAUUAUAAUAUAUAUAUAUAUGUGUAUAUAUAUAAAAUAUAAUAAUAAAAAAAAUAAAUAUUUUGAAAAAAUCUUUAAAAAAUAUUGUUGAUUUUUCUGCAUAUUUUUAUAAAAAUGGUUUAAUUUUGUUUUGUAUUUUUAUACUGUAAAGAUACAAAACCAGUGUUAUAAAUACCCGGUUUUCGUCAAAACAUCAAAGAUUUUCAGAAUAAAAAAUGUUUUUGCUUUCAAAAAAAUUUCUAAAAAUUCCCUAAAAAUGUUGUUGAUUUUUCUGCAUAUUUUUAUAAAAGGAUUAAUAUUGGGUUGUAUUUUUAUACCGUAAGGAUACAAGCUCAGUAUUAAAAUACCCGAUUUUCGUCAAAGCAUAAAAAAAAUAAUAUUUUCUAAAAAUUGUUUUUGUUUUAAAAUACGGCCUAGUCUCUCCAAUAUAUAUACAUAAAUAUUAUAACAUCAUAUUUUCACACAACAAAGAAAAUUUUCAAAACAAUAUAUGUAUUAACAUGCAUUUUGGCUUUAAUAACCAGUUUAUUCAAGCCAUGAGAACUAGGCCAAUAUUUCAAAAAUUCUAAAAAAUCUUUUUGUUUUCUUUUAGUAUUUGGGAUUACGAAUUUAUACGUAAAACGUAUUCCUAAUAUUAUUAAUAAAAUUUUGGUAUGGACGUUAGAACGGUUAGGAUUUUUACCCGAUAAGAUAAAGACCUCUUACUGAGGAGGAUUUUUCUUGAACCAUAGACAGACCAACAACUAGGAAAACACAAUAACACUUUAGUUUUUUUUUAUCAGACAAUAAAACAAUGCAGCUUACCUUAGGUAGGGCGUAUUUGGGGUGCUAAUACCUUUACGCCCAGUCUCCGUACCCGAUCUCUGAGACCAGUUAGGUUCCUAGUGACCAAAAUACUAGGUGGCGACUCCAAAGAACCAAAUAAAUAAAAUAAAAAAUUCGCCAGUCGAACCCGCAAUUGAAAUGAAUUUUUUUUUUUGGGGUGCGACAGAAUGGCGACUCCACUGGGGACCUUGUAGACUAAGCUUUGUUUUUGUCUGAUUUAUUUGUGUUUGUGAUAUGCCUUUCCUUUUAUUUAAUCGCGUAUUUGUUUUUAUUUUUACGCGCAUAUUAUUCAUGCAUUAUAUACAAUUGUCUCAUGCAUCACUUGCCUUAAUUUUGAAAAGCACACACAAGCUUUAAGUUAAGUGGGGAAUUAGCGAUUUACCCUAAGACUAUUGGUCAGGGUUUAAAUGCGUGAAACACCCAACUCAUAUCUGAGUGCCUGCUUGGUAAUGGUGGGCAUACGUGUCUUAACUGUUCCUUGCAACGCCCCCAUACUUCUUUACGAAGAACGUCACUGGGCAGAUAUGAGAACCUUCAAGACUAGAUAGAAAAACUACCCACUCUCACUUAAUAAAUAGAGCUUGUCCUUAGGUUAUGUAUCUUAUUUGCAUCAAGAUAAUAAUGAUAUACUCAUCGCACAUCACUUGUGCAUCACAUUUUCAUCACGCAUUUUGUUAUCAUAUGCAUUACAGAUCGUGAAACAUAGGUCCACAUCCAGAGUCCACCAAACCCGGUCCAGAUCAAGAAUGGAAAACGAAGAAAGAGCUCAUUAGAGUCGCACUACCAGACCGAGUUGGAAUCUGUGAAAAAUGAAGUUUCUCGACUGACCAAUCUGCUUGAGCAACUUUUAAGAGCCAAGAACGGGGAGGGAACAUCUACCCAACCACCUAUAGGAGCACCGUCAGUUCAUGUCCGGGGUAUCUCAGAACUUGGGGGCAGAUUCAGUGACGGGGCAGCACUUUGCACCUACCAUUCAGCCCCCUCAAGCUCACAUCACAGAAGGGCCUCCGAUAAUAGGUCCACGGAUUUAUGAACGAUGACAAGAUAUCAGCCUUGGAAGAAAGGUUAAGAGCAGUCGAGGGAAAUGACUGGUUUGACCCCAUGCGAGUCUGAAAUAUGCUUGGUACCAAACAUCACGUACCAAAAAAAUUUAGGAUACCGGAGUUUAUAAAGUACACUGGGUUGGAAUGCCCAAACACUCACCUUCGAUCUUAUUGCAAUAAGAUGGCUGAGGUGAUUCAUGACGAUAAGUUACUGAUCUACUUUUUCCAAGAUAGUCUAUCGGGGUCGGCGCUAAGUUGGUACAUGAGGUUGGAUAAUGCCAAGAUCAAGAAAUGGAAGGAUUUAGUUGAGGCUUUCCUUAAGCAAUACAAGUUCAAUUUGGAAAUUGCUCCAGAUCGAACGAGCCUUAUGUCAAUGGAAAAGAGAAGCCAAGAAUCAGUAAGGGCUUAUGCGCAAAGGUGGAGGGACGAGGCCAUGCAUGUGCAACCCCCUUUGAUAGAAACGGAGAUGGUGACUUUGUUCGCCAAUACAUUCAAGGCACCCUACUAUGAGCAUUUAAUGGGUAGCUCAUCUCAACAUUUCUAUGAUGUUGUACGCAUAGCGGAAAGAAUAGAGCAAGGGAUUAAAGCUGGACGCAUAAUUGAGCCAUUGGAGACAAAGGGUUUUUCGGAAGAAAAAUGAAAGGUCCCGUUAACAACUUCGAAGGUGGGUCCAAUGACAAGAUAACAGAUUCAUAUAACCCACAAAUACCUACCUCUCAUGUGGCCCACAUAAACUUUAACAAACCUUUUUCCCCUAAUCGAGCAAAUGGCCAGUCAAACACCCAAAACAACCACCAACGACCAAACACAAGAUACAUUUCAGAACAACUACCGCCAUUACCCAUGCCUCUGAAGGAUAUAUAUGCCAAACUACUAAGCAUUGGACAAAUAGCUCCUAUCCCUACAUUACCACUACAGCCACCAUUCCCCAUCUGGUAUAAGCCCGAGUUGACUUGCGAGUACCAUGCUGGUAUUCCCGGGCAUUGUCUUGAAACGUGCUACGGUUUCAAGAACAAGUUGUUGAAGCUCAUCAAGAUAGGAUGGGUGUCAUUUGAAGACACACCCAAUAUCAAUUCAAAUCCAUUGCAUGGUCAUGACAAAAGUGAUAGGGGAUAAAGGUUGGAAAACCUUGGUCAAGAGUCGUCAAUAAUGAAGAAGGCGAGAUCGAAGGAGAAGACAAGGAAAUGCAAGUGGGGAAGGAAGAUGAAGCAUUGCCUCGGUUGACUUUCCACACACUAGAAGAAGUUUCAGAACGGGUUGACCCAAGAACUUCUCGUAGUUUUCAAAAUGUAAAACAACUUUAUUUGCCUUAGCAUGUUUUUGUCAUUUGCUUUUGUCUUUGCUUUUAUUUUCUCUAGUGAGCAUUCAGAGCUCAUAUUGUCAGCCAGAUUUUUGUGUUUGUCUUUGAGCUUACCUUUUCUUUAAAUAAAUGAUGAGUUUAUGCAUUUUUUUUAACAAGUUUGAGUGGUUACAAAUAAAGUAUCAAUAAAAUGGUUUAAUAUGAAAUUUAAGAAAAGCUAACCCUAAAGUACAACCCUAUCUCUGAUAGCAUGGAUAAAUGUUUAAGUGGUCACUUUGUAAUUGUUCUUUUAAAGAAUAGAGUUUAUCAACCAUAACAAUGGCAUUUUGAAAUAAAAAAAAAUCAUUAUCUAUUCACUCACUAAAAAAGUUUAUCACCGGCUGAAUGAAUUGCUUCUCUAUAUAAAAACCCAGACUAAUAUCGCACCCCUAUACUAGGGGGCAAGACGGAUGUUUUAUGAAAAGUUUUACGAUUUGAAAACCAAGCUAAAGCAUUUGACAAAAGCAUGACAAAGAGGCAAAUACAAGUCAUACAUUUUGAGAAAAGGACUACUUGAAGAAAGUCAAAGACUUUUCUCCAAGAAUAUGAUAGGCAACACGAGAGAUGAAUCCAGCAUACGACUUCAAAAGCAAGUUCAUGUUAAGAGGGAGUCCCAUGAACUAGAAGAAGAGGAUGGGGCCUAUGUUUCAAAACCAGGUACGAAUGCAUGCAUUGCAUCUAAUCAUAAAUCAUUGCAUAUAUGUUUUUUUUGGAUCGUUACAGGAGGAGAUCUUAGCGCAUUCCAACAAGAUUAUGGACGAAGAAAAGAAUCAUUGAGUUGAUUCUAGAACAACAAGAAGAGGAAAACAUAUGGGAAUUCACAAAAUUAAUAGAACAACACGAACAGGCUUGGAGGCCCGCUAAAGAGGAACUGGAAACCAUAAAUGUAGGCAAUGAAGAAGUCAAGCGAGAGCUGAAGAUAGGGACUUUGAUCACCCCCGAAGCAAAGGAAGAGUUGAUUGCACUGCUCAAGGAUUAUGUGGAUGUCUUUGCCUGGUCUUACGAGGAUAUCUGGAUACGGACAUGUGGUGCAUAGAAUACCACUGAUGGAACAAGCCGAUUAAGCAGAAGUUAAGGAGAACUCAUCCAGAGGUCUUAAUCAAAGUAAAGGCGGAAAUUGAAAAACAAUGGGACGCUGGUUUUUUGGAAGUAGUGAAGUAUCCACAAUGGGUGUCAAACAUAGUGGUGGUACCCAAAAAGGAAGGUAAAAUCAGGGUUUGCGUGGACUUUAGGGAUUUAAACCGGGCUAGCCCUAAAGAUAAUUUCCCUUUACCACACAUAGAUAUGUUAGUUGAUAAUGCAGCACGCAGCUCCACAUAUUCCUUCAUGGAUGGGUUUUCAGGCUACAAUCAGAUAAGAAUGGCGCCAGAGGAUAGGGAGAAGACGACCUUUGUAACACCAUGGGGAACCUUUUGCUACAAAGUCAUGCCAUUUGGUUUAAAGAAUGCUGGGGCCACUUACCAAAGGGCUAUGGUGACUUUGUUUCACGACAUGAUGCACAAAGAGAUUGAAGUAUACGUGGAUGACAUGGUUGCUAAAUCUAAAGAGGGAGAGAAUCAUGUCCAAGUAUUGAAGAAAUUAUUUGAAAGAUUAAGGAAAUAUAAGUUGAGGCUUAACCCAGCAAAGUGCUCAUUCGGGGUGAAAUCCGGUAAGCUGUUGGGAUUUGUGGUGAGUGACAAAGGGAUAGAAGUGGAUCCUGAAAAAGUAAAAGCUAUUCAAUCUAUCCACCCCCAAGACUGAGAAGGAGGUGAGAGGUUUCUUAGGAAGGUUGAAUUACAUCGCUCGGUUUAUAUCCCAUUUAACCGCGACUUGUGACCCGAUCUUUCGUUUGUUGAGGAAGAAGAACCCUGGAAUAUGGAAUGAAGAGUGUGAUAAAGCUUUUGAGAAAAUCAAGCAGUACUUGCUAAAUCCACCUCUGCUUGUUCCUCCCGUACCAGAAAGGCCAUUGAUUUUAUACCUAACAGUAACCGAAACAGCAAUGGGAUGUGUGCUUGGGCAACAUGAUGAAACCGGAAGAAAGGAAAGGGCCAUUUAUUACCUAAGCAAGAAGUUCACGGAAUAUGAGUCUAGGUAUACUGUGGUUGAGAAGCUGUGAUGCGCACUAGCAUGGGCUACAAAGAGAUUACGUCAGUAUAUGUUGUAUCACACUACAUGGUUAAUUUCCAAUUUAGACCCAUUAAGGUACAUUUGUGAGAAACCUUAUCUAUCUAGCCGAAUUGCAAGAUGGCAAGUUCUUUUAGCUGAGUAUGACAUAGUAUAUAUGACAAGGAAAGCCGUGAAAGGGAGUGUUAUUGCCGAUCACCUGGCUGACCAUGCUAUGGAAGAUUAUGAGCCGUUAAACUUUGACUUUCCCGAUGAAGAUGUGCUUGCAAUCGAGGAAGAGAAAUCAGAUUGGUGGGUUAUGUACUUUGAUGGUGCUGUAAAUGUAUGUGGUAACGGAGCGGGGGCAGUGAUAAUCUCUCCUGAUAAGAAGCAGUAUCCGGUUUCAGUUAAGCUGCAGUUCGGGUGUACCAACAACACGGCUGAGUAUGAAGCUUGUAUUCUUGGUUUAGAGGCUGCUUUAGAGAUGAACAUAAGAAAGAUAGAUGUGUAUGGAGAUUCAAUGCUGAUUAUUUGCCAAGUAAAAGGAGAAUGGCAAACCAAAGAAGAGAAGUUAAGGCCUUACCAAGAAUACCUGUCUCAGUUAGCUAAAGAAUUUGAGGAAAUAGAGUUCACCCAUCUGGGAAGAGAAGGGAACCAAUUUGCAGAUGCUUUGGCCACACUAGCAUCUAUGGCCAAGAUAGACUUUGGGCACAAGGUACAGCCAGUACACAUCAAUAUCAGAAAUAACCCCGCUCAUUGUUGCUCAGUCGAAAGAGAAGUGGAUGGAAACCCGUGGUACUAUGAUAUCAAGAAUUUCAUCCAAAACCAGGCAUAUCCCAUGGGGGCAUCCAAAAUCGACAAAAAGACCUUGAGAAGAUUGGCAAUGGAUUUUUAUCUUGAUGGGGAGAUUUUGUAUAAGAAAUCAUUUGACGGGACUUUGUUGAGAUGAUGUUUGGAUGAAUUUGAGGCAAAAAGCACAGUACGGGAAGUCCAUGAAGGGAUUUGCUCAACUCAUGCCAGUGGACAUGUGAUGGCCAAGAAGAUACAAAGAGUCGGGUACUUCUGGAUGACGUUAGAGAAGGAUUGUAUCGAUUAUGUCCGGAAAUGUCAUAAGUGCCAAGUAUACAGUGACAAAAUCAAUGCUCCUCCGGCUCCUCUGUUUAAUUUAACAUCUCCAUGGCCCUUCGCGAUGUGGGGAAUUGAUGUGAUUGGACCGGUAAAUCCAAAAGCCAGCAAUGGUCAUAGGUUUAUUCUAGUGGCUAUCGACUACUUCACAAAAUGGGUAGAAGCUGGGUCAUUUGCUCAUGUGACGCAAAAAGUGGUGAAGAAAUUUAUUGAGAGAGAUUUGAUAUGUCGGUAUGGGCCACCAGAAAAGAUUAUAACGGAUAACGCCCAGAAUUUCAACGGCAAGAUGAUAAUAGAGCUCUGCACUAAAUGGAAAAUCAAGCAUUCCAAUUCUUCGCCAUAUAGACCAAAGAUGAAUGGUGCGGUAGAAGCUGCUAACAAGAAUGUCAAAAAGAUUAUUCAGAAGAUGGUAGUCACCUAUAAGGAUUGGCAUGAGAUGUUGCCAUUUGCCCUUCAUGCAUAUCGCACCGCAGUUCGAACCUCAACAGGAGCUACCCCGUAUAUGUUGGUAUAUGGAAUGGAGGCGGUGAUGCCUUUAGAAGUGGAAAUCCCAUCAUUGAGAGUGUUGUUAGACUCUGAGUUGGAAGAGGUAGAAUGGGCAAAGGUUAGAUAUGAACAGUUGAAUCUGAUCAGUGAAAAGAGGAUAGCCGCGAUCUGUCAUCAUCAACUCUACCAAAGAAGGAUGGCUAAAUCAUAUGACAAGAAGGUUCGACCUCGAGGAUUCCACGAAGGAGAUCUUGUACUAAAGAAAAUAUUACCUUUACCUGGAGAAGAUCAGAGUAAAUGGGCACCUAACUACGAGGGACCUUACGUGGUGAGGAAAGCAUUCUCAGGAGGAGCUUUGUUACUGUCUAGAAUGGAUGGAGAAGAUCUAGCUAGGCCUGUGAAUUCCGACUCUGUAAAGAAAUACUACGCUUGAUGUAUUUCAUAAUUUCCCAAUAAAAAAAAAAUAUAUAUAUAAGUUUCGGCCAUGAAUUCUCUUUGUGAAGUUUCCUUUUAUAUAUGUAUUUAACAUAUGAUCUCAUAGCAUUUUGAAUCUUUUUUGGCAUGACUAAAUCAAAUCUACUUGACAUAUAGUUGCACAUCACACUAGGGGGCAAAAGGUGCACAACAUGCACAUAGGGGUUCAUAGUAAACCCAAUCCCAAAAGGGAUAUCAUCAUAAAAAGUUUCUAUAAAAAAAAAAAAAAAAAGCAUUUUUUAUAAAAUUUGCUAAUUGCAUCAAAGGUUUCAGUUUUCAUGAACAAAACCAAUUUUUUUUCUUUGGCGCAAAACUCAAUGAAGCAAGAAAGGGCCCCAUAAGGAACCAAAGAUCUCUUCACUAAAAGGACAUGAAGGAUAUUUCGGUUCAUGAGAAAAGCUUGAAACAAGAGCAAAGAGGUUUAUGAUGAAAGGGGGACCUAUGUUUCCAAGAUAGGUAACAAAAACAUACAUGCAUAUUAACCAUAAUAUAUUGCUUUCAACAUUUGUCAGAUCGGGAUUUCAUCACCAUUUCUCAGGUAGUGCGUUUUCUAACCCUACCUCUUUUCGAGUGCGCUGUUUGAGCCCUCACUUUUUGGGUAGUGCGUUUUCUAACCCUACUUCUUUUCGAGUGCGCUGUUUGACUCACUUUUGGGUAGUGCGUUUUCUAACCCUACCUCUUUUUGAAUGCGCCGUUUGAGCCCUCACUUCUCGGGUAGUGCGUUUUCUAAACCCUACCUCUUUUCGAGUGCGCCUUUGAGCCCUCACCAACAUUUUUUCUGGGUAGGUCACCCAUUACAACGCGACCAUUUUCUCCAUAUUUUUAUUUGGGCAGGUCACCCAUCACAAUGAGACCAUACUUUUCUGGGUAGGUCACCCAUAAGAAUGAGACCAUUCUUCAUUUUUUUGUUUAUCUGGGUAGGUCACCCAUAAGAAUGAGGCCAUUCCUUCCCCUGGGUAGGUCACCCAAAGAAUGAGACCACUCUUCCUUUUUCUGGGUAGGUCACCCAUCACAAUGAGACCAUAUUUUUCUGGGUAGGUCACCCAUCACAAUGAGACCAUAUUUUCUGGGUAGGUCACCCAUCACAAUGAGACCAUAUUUUCUGGGUAGGUCACCCAUCACAAUGAGACCAUAUUUUUCUGGGUAGGUCACCCAUCACAAUGAGACCAUAUUUUCUGGGUAGGUCACCCAUCACAAUGAGACCAUAUUUUCUGGGUAGGUCACCCAUAAGAAUGAGACCAUUCUCCAUUUUUUUUUACCUGGGUAGGUCACCCAUAAUAAUGAGGCCAUCCUUUCCCCUGGGUAGGUCACCCAAAGAAUGAGACCAUUCUUUCUCUUUUCCACUCGGGCAGGUCACCCAUCAUAAUGAGACCACACACACAUUUUUUGUAUUGGUUAUGAGUAAAGGGAUCGCCGGAGGGGAUUCCAGGUUAAAGAAGAUCACUAGAUAAGAUCUCGGAUGGAUUUCCAUGUUGAUCAAACUAAAAUAAGAAUUCAGAGGAUCGCUGGAUAAGGAUCUCGAGAUGACUAAGUUUCGAUCAUUGGUCUUUUGGGGUUAAGGAGGAUUGUUAAAAAGGACAAAGUUUUAGAUCAAUCAAGCUUCGACCAGAUCAGUUUCGGGAGUUCCGUUUUGGGUUUAUCUUUAUAACACUUACUGCGCAAAACCCAUGCUCCGUAAGUAUUAUAAAGAGGGGGCAUCUGUUGUAACCCAUUUUUGGGUCCCCCUGAAAAAUAAAAUAAAUAGCCAAAAGAGGUUAGGAAAAUAACCGGAAGCAGAAGCGCCCGGAAAGCAGUCAGAAAAUUGGUCAAGGAAUUUUAAAAAUACAAGGAUUGAAUUUUUUACAGUAUAUUCUUGAAGGAUGAAAGCCCUAUUGAGAAGGAAAAUUUUUGAAUUUUAGGGAGAAAAGCCCAAAUUUGGAUUUUUAUGGGCUUAAUUGGAUUUUUAUGGGCUUAAUUGGAUUUUUAUUUGAAUUUAUAGAAGAUUUGAUUCCAAGAAAAAUUGAUUUUUAAGUCAAUUUGGGCUUUAAUUUGGAGAAAUUUAAGUUCUGGGGCCAAAAUAUAUUUUUUAGGAAUUUAUUGGGUCAAAUCAGGGGCUCAAUUGCAUAAAUAUUGAAGUUUAAGGGCCAAUUAGGGGUUUAAUUAAGAAAAUUCGAAACCAGGGACCAAAUUGCAAGAGGCGCGUAAAUGGAGGGGCUGCAAUUAUUCGGUUCAGGGGCCUAAUUGAAGAAAUUGAAAGUUUAUUAAUCAAUUAGGGGCUCAAUUGCAUAAAUCAGAGGCCAAGGACCAAAGUGAAAAAGGCGGCCAACAAGGGGGACGGGGACCGAAUUUGGAGGACUGAUUUGAGGUUUAGCCGUUUAAAUGAAACGGCGCGUUUUACCCAAAACGACGCCGUUUCAUAUAUAUAUAUAUAAAAAAAAAAAGAAAAAAGAAAAAAAAGAGGAAGAUCAGAACGGUGUCGUUUUGAACGACACUGUUCAUCUUCCUCCUCCCCCGUUUCAACAGAACAGAAACGAAAGAAAAAAAAGGGAAAAAUUUCAAAACUUCCCGCCUCUCUCUCCUCGUCCCCACCACCACCACCGAAAGCAAGAAUGGCCGACCAGCCGUUGCGUGAUUGAAGGCGCACUAACGAAGGCACGCCGUUUCCUUUUUGCUUAUAAAUAGAGAGAGGCCAAGAGGAGAGAGAGGGGACCGAAGAGAGAGAAGAGAAAAAAAAAAAAGAGAGGGACGAGACCGAAGAGAGAGAUAGAACCAGUGAGAUAGAGGGGAAGAGAAAAGAAUAAAAAGAAAAACAAAAAGAAAAGAAAACAGAAAACAAAGAGAAAGGAAGGAAAGGAAGAGGGGAAGAGGAAGGAAAUCUGUUCUCUCCGCCGCAGCAACACCACAGCGCCGCCGUCCUCGAGGCCACGACACCGCAGCUCCACCAACGGUCGCCUCCACGCCAGGUGCACACCCCCCCCCCCUUUGCAUUUUUUUUCUUUUGUUUUCGCCUGGCCUCCUGCAUGUUGCAUGCAGGAGGCGGGGGGGGGAGAAAAAUAAUUCUCCCCCCCCCGCUGGGUUUUAAGGCACUGGGCCAACCCGAUGCUGGCCCAGCCUUGUAAGUCUGGGCCGGUCUUGGCCCAGACUGUAGAAGUUACGGGUCGAGACCGGCCACGUUAGUUACGGGCCGAGACCGGCACAAUAUCAUUGCGGGCCGAGACCUGCCCGGCCCCUUUAUUAUAUAUUUUUUUUUUGGGCUGAGCCUGGCCCAUUUAUUUGGGCCGGCCCAGCCCUAUAUUAUAUAUUAUAUAUAAUAUAUAUAUAUAUAUAUAUAUAUAUAUAUAUAUAUAUAUGUGUAUAUAUAUAAAAUAUAAUAAUAAAAAAAAUAAAUAUUUUGAAAAAAUCUUUAAAAAAUAUUGUUGAUUUUUCUGCAUAUUUUUAUCAAAAUGGUUUAAUUUUGUUUUGUAUUUUUAUACUGUAAAGAUACAAAACCAGUGUUAUAAAUACCCGGUUUUCGUCAAAAUAUCAAAGAUUUUCAGAAUAAAAAAUGUUUUUGCUUUCAAAAAAAAAAUUCUAAAAAGUCCUUAAAAAUGUUGUUGAUUUUUCUGCAUAUUUUAUCAAAAAUGGUUUAAUUUUGGUUUGUAUUUUUAUACCGUAAGGAUACAAGCUCAGUGUUAUAAAUACCCGAUUUUCGUCAAAGCAUAGAAAAAAAUAAUAUUUUCUAAAAAAUUGUUUUUUUGUUUUAAAAUACGGCCUAGUUUCUCCAAUAUAUAUCCAUAAAUAUUAUAACAUCAUAUUUUCACACAACAAAGAAAAUUUUCAAAACAAUAUAUGUAUUAACAUGCAUUUUGGCUUUAAUAACCAGUUUAUUCAAGCCACGAGAACUAGGCCAAUAUUUCAAAAAUUCUAAAAAAAUCUUUUUGUUUUCUUUUAAUAUUUGGGAUUACGAAUUUAUACGUAAAACGUAUUCCUAAAUAUUAUUAAUAAAAUUUUGGUAUGGACGUUAGAACGGUUAGGAUUUUUUACCCGAUAAGAUAAAGACCUCCUUACUGAGGGGGAUUUUUCUUGAACCAUAGACAGACCAACAACUAGGAAAACACAAUAACACUUUAGUUUUUAUUUAUUUAUCAGACAAUAAAACAAUGCAGCUUACCUUAGGUAGGGCGUAUUUGGGGUGCUAAUACCUUCCCUUUACGCAACCAGUCUCCGUACCCGAUCUCUGAAACCAGUUAGGUUCCUAGUGACCAAAAUACUAGGUGGCGACUCCAAAGAACCAAAUCAAAUAAAAAUAAAAAAUUUCGCCAGUCGAACCCGCAAUGGAAAUAGAUAUUUUUUUUUUUUUGGGGUGCGACAAAAAUCAUGAAGAAAAGGAAGAGCAUCGAACUGAAACAGAAGUUUUUCAGACAGAAUGGUGGUCUCUUGUUACAACAACAAUUAUCCUCAAGUGAUCAAGGUAUUUCCAAAACCAAAGUAUUUUGCUCAGAGGAGUUGGAAACUGCCACAGAUGGUUUCAAUGUGAACAGGAUACUUGGUCAAGGUGGCCAAGGUACCGUGUACAAAGGGAUGCUAGCAGAUGGAGUAAUUGUUGCGGUCAAAAGGUCCACAAUGGUGAGUGAAGAAAACCUUGAAGGAUUCAUCAACGAGGUUUGUAUUCUUUCACAAAUCAACCAAAGAAAUAUAGUCAGGCUACUUGGUUGCUGUUUGGAGGCAGAAGUUCCUCUUUUAGUUUAUGAAUUUAUUCCUAAUGGAACUCUUUACGAGUAUCUCCAUCGCCAAAAUGAGGAGUUCCCUUUAUCAUGGGAAAUGAGAUAACAGAUUGCUGCUGAAACUGCCGGAGCACUUUGCUAUCUUCACUCAGCAGCUUCCAUUCCAAUUUAUCAUCGAGAUAUAAAGUCCACCAACAUACUCUUAGAUCACAAGUAUCGCGCCAAGAUUGCCGAUUUCGGGACUUCAAGAUCACUCUCCGUUGAUCAAACUCAUUUGACGACUAAUGUGCAAGGCACCUUUGGUUACUUGGACCCAGAAUACUUUUGGUCCAGUCAGUAUACAGAUAAGAGUGAUGUCUAUAGUUUUGGAGUAGUUCUUGCUGAGCUCUUAACUAGACAAAAAGCAGUUCUUACAAACGAGUCACAAGAACGCACAAACUUGGCUGCACAUUUUGUUCUUUUGAUGGAAGAGAACAAAAUUUUUUAUAUUGUUGAUGCUCAAAUUAAGGAGCACUGCCCCAAGGAGGAUGUCAUCGGUGUAGCUAAUAUUGCAAUGAGAUGCUUGAAUUUGAACGGAAAAAUGCGACCGACAAUGAAACAAGUCACAUCAGAGUUGGAGAGGAUCAUUCAAUUGUCACAAAAGCAGGACAUUCCAUAAAAUAACGAAGAAGCUGAUCAGGGCAUCACGGCUGAAGUAAUCAGUGCGUGGGAUGAUGCUUCUACAUCAAUUACUUGCACUAGUUUUCAAGUUGAUCAAGCUCUAUCAUCAUCAGAUGUCGAACCUUUGGUCCCUUUCAAGACUUGGUGAUCCAUUAAUAAGAAACGUGUCUCGAAUCUGCAAGUUUUUCCUUUUUCUUUUUUCCUAAUGUUCUUGGAUAAACUUAAGACCAUUUGUUUCGGUAUUUGUUUUGCGAAAAUGCUUUAAGCCAUUGUUGUCACUGUUUUUUCUUCUAUAUAAAUCUUGCUCACUUUCUCCUUAAUCUUAUUAUUUCUCUUCUCAUCCUGGGAAAAUAUAGCAAAUCACAAGAAGAAAUGGAGUGAUCUUGGUGUGCCUAGAAGGGACAUCUUUGAAUGCUUGAGUUUCUGGGCCAUCCACUGAAGCAAAAUGGAAACUGGUUUUUUAGAGUCCCUCCUCAGAUUGUUGCUAAUGGAGUCAAAUGCUGGGAUUAUUGUCUUGUAGGCUAAUUAUGGGUAAAAGUCCCAAGCUCUCCUCUGUUUCUGUUAUGGCAAAUACCCUAUGAUGGCCGAAUGGUCCUGUUGAAGUUAAAGUUAUGUUCAUUCUUUUAAGUUGGUUUAAAUUUAAUUAGAUGAUAAAAGAAUAUGCAACAACUACAAACAAACAAUUCUUCAAAAAAAAAAACAUGAAACCAUGUGAAAAAAUUCAUGGAGGUGCAAAAUUAGAUAAAAAAAGAGGAUAAAAAUCUAAUUCAACCAAAGAUAUUGUGAUAAAUAUGUAAUAUAGAUAAUAAGGGGCGAGUUAACCUGUGGUGUGCCGCAAAACUCAUAGCUCAGGUAUGAUAUCAGAAUAAUUCUAUAUAAAAAAAAUCAAAGAAAACAACAAAGUCAAUUCUUAGAAAAAAAAACACUAAUGUUGAAUGAUGAUGAAAUAAAUAAUAAGAGGCGAGUCAACUCAUGGUGUGACGCAAAAUUCAUGACCCAGGUUACGAGAUUGAGAUAAUUCUAUAGAAAAAAAAUCAAAGAAAACAACGGAGUGAGUUCUUAAAAAAAAAACACUAAUACUGAAUGAUAAAAUUGAAAAAAAUAAAUAAAAAUAAAUGUAUCAACCAACAUCAACUUUUCAAAUAUGUAACCUAGGUUAUUAAACUAGAAGCAUCAUGUAUGAAAAAAUGAUGAAGCAUAAUUUAUGGCAAAUUAAACAUUGAAAAAUAAAACAGGGGGUAAAAAUUAACAACACAAAAAGAUCUAAAAUAAAAAAUGAUAAUUAAAAGAAUGAUGAUGAAAAUAAAAAUAAAAAUAAAUUAAAGGGCAAUUAAAUUUUUUUUAAUGGAGGGUUAAAUUUAAAAUAAAAAUACCUCCAACAAAAAAAAUAAAAGAAUGGGAACCAAUUUUAUUUUUUUUAAAUAACACACCAUAAACUUUGAUGGAAAUAUAAAAUUGAAAACUAAUAAAAUUUUUAUAAAAAAGCCAAUGAAAAAAAUUAAAAACUAAAAAAUUAAGGAUCAAAAUAAAAAAAAAAGUUGACAAAUUAUAAUUAAAUAAAUAAAUUGAAAAAAAAAACUUAUAUAAAAGGAUUAAGGAAAAACUAAAAAAUAUUCUGUCAAUAAUUAUCAUCGUAAUUUACCUAUAGAAUUAUUCUAUCAGUAAUUUUAUUGGUUUUAUAUGAACUUCUAGUAAUGUAAAGACGUUGGACAUGUUAUUUGUGAUGAUGUGCUUAGGUUUUGGAAGAUUUAUAAUGCAGAGAGAGAGAGAGAGAGAGAGAGAGAGAGAGAGAGGAGAAACAAAAAGAGAGGCAACCAUGCAACCAUGCACGUAUACAGCAGGCUAUUGCUAAUAACAAUCGAUGAACAUUACACUGUUAUUGUUUUUGUAGUCAAUAGUUUGAUUUGGUCUAAUGUCUAAUAAAUGAUAGAUCUUUACAAACAUCGAUCAAUAUUCUUAAUCUGUCUGAAAUGGGAUUUAAAAAAACACGAAAUACCAUGAGAUUUGAUCCCAUAAACCCGCGAUUGGGGUCUUUUACCGAGUAUAUAUGUUUUAUUUAUUCGGUAUAUGUGCAUGUUAAUUAAAGCAAAUUAAGAUAUAACAAAGACAAAAAAAACAUUCAGAUGCCGGCCCAUGUUGUUUCUACUGGGGUGGGGAAUUAACAUGAGAUUUUCUUUUAAUUUAUCUUUUGAAAUAAACUUGUUAAUACCUGUUUAGUUUUUUUUUAAUAUAAAAAUUAUUUAUGAUUUAUACAUAUAAGAAAAGGUGUAUCAUAUAUAUUUAAAUGGUAAAUCUAUGAGCAUAAGACUUAAUUUGAAUCUUGAAAAUAGAAAUAAAUCUUAUAAUAAUAAUAGCAGCCGCAAUAAUAAUAAUAAUAAUAAUAAUAAUAAUAAUAAUAAUAAUAAUAAUAAUAGCUAUCCUAACUAUUUGUAUACUAUUGUGUUCGUACGAGUAUAAAAAAAAAAAAAAAAAGGUCGAAGAUUGAUAGUGUAUUGAAAAACAAAGAGAGAAAGUGAAUUGUUAUCAUCAAGAAUGUUUCAUAAAACCCAACAAAUGAGAAAUUAAAUAUAUAAAACAAACAAUAAUCAGAAUAUUGUGUUCUGAGCACUCGUUUUCCCCUUCAAGUGCCUUUGAGCACUCGCUUUACCCUUCACGUGCCUUUAAGCACUCACCAGCCUCCUCGAGUGCCUUUGAGAAGUCACAUUCCCCUUCAAGUGCCUUUGAGCACUGGUGCCUUUGAGCACUCGCUUUUCCCUUCAAGUGCCUUUGAGCCCUCACAUUUUUUUGAGUGUGUCUUCGAGCCCUCAUUUUUUUUUUUUUACGUGAGUAGGUCACCCAUCACAAUGAGAUCAUUUCUAAAAAAAAAAAACAAAAAAAAAAAUAGGUCAUCUUCCAGAUGACUUGUUUCUUGAUUUCUACAUCUCUCUGUAAAGGUCGUGUGUCAAUCUACUGUUUUCAAAGUUUUCAAGACUUAAAAAAAAAAAAUGUUCUUUCUAUAUCUACUUUUCUUUAUAAAUUUAUUACACAAAGCUAAAGAAAAAUGAAAUUUUCCAAUAUCUUUGCAUAGUAAAUAUUAUAAAGAGGGGGCAACUGUCAUAACCUAAUUUUUGACCAUUUUAUUUUAAUUAUUAUUAUUAUUAUUUUAUUUACUGAAAAUGAUAAAAAAAAAUGAUAAUGAAAAAAUAAUAAUGAUGAAAAAAUAAAUAAAAUGAAAUAAAUGAAGAAUGAAUUAAAAUUUGGGUUAAUGGCAAAAUGAUUGGAAGUUUUGGGGUUUAAUUAAACUUUGGAAUUAAUCUAAUUAAUCCAAUUAAGGGUUUUAUUGGAGAAUUGAUAAGUUUUGAGACUUAAUUGAGCUUGGAAUUAAUUUAAUUUAUCCAAUUAAGGGUUUAAUUGGAGAAUUGAUAAGUUUUGAGACUUAAUUGAGCUUGGAAUUAAUUUAAUUAAUCCAAUUAAGGGUUUAAUUGGAGAAUUGAUAAGUUUUGAGACUUAAUUGGACUUGGAUUUAAUUAAAUUAAUGAAAUCAAGGACUUAAUUGAAGAAAUAUUAAUUGGGGUCCAAGUUGCAAAAAUUAAAAUACAAGGAUUAACUUGUAAAAGGCGCCGAAAUGCAGGAGUCUAAUUAAUGUUUACCCAUGGGUUUGUUUACAAAAAGUUCAAAACUUCAAGGACCACAUCAAAAAUAAAAAUUUGAAUUGAAAACGAAGCCGUUUCUUGGACAAACUGUUCACUGCCCAUUUCAGCUUCCGUUUUGACAGUUACAGACAAUGUUUAUAUUUGAGCGUAGAGGCAUUAACAAGGGAAACUGAGGGGACAAAAUCGUGGGGAAGACAGAAAGGGGAAAGGAGGGAAUUGGAAAGGGACCGGAAAAAAGAAGAUACAUUACAGAGAAAAAAAAAAGCAGAAAAGGGGGGAGAGAAAACAUAUCAAAGAGACAAAAAAAAAUAAAGCAAAGGGGGCAGCGAAACCUAUACGAGCCGCCGCCCCCUUCAGCCUUCUUUGGCUUUUCUUCUCCGGCCUCCGUCUCUUCCCCCAUCAGACACUUUUCACUCCUCAAUCUCAACCCCUGGGAGCUGCAACUCCUCGUCAAGAAAGAGUACAUCACACGGGGAACAUCAUUGUGCACAGCCACCUCAUCCUCAAAGAAAAAAAAAGCAUAGUGUUUCACCUUCUCCUUCCACCAUCAUGUUUUCUCCGGUGUCGCCAGAAGAAACCCUCGUCUUCUCCUCACAAUCGUCCAUCAACAACGACAUUCCCAGCCAGGGAAGCCGAAAGGGAAUGCCUCCUUACAAUGCAUAGCUGACCAAACCGUCAGCUCUUCCUCAGAGUUUUUGGCACUUGAAAGCAGCGCAGCGAGUCAGGCAUUACUCCGUCGAUCACAACAACUAGAUGGGCCACUCAAAUAUUUGGAACUCGCAUCCCAAGAGCUACGGUCCUGGAUCCCAAACCUGCCGAGUGUGUGGAAACCCUCAUGGGAUAAUCAGGAAGUAUGGACUGAUGUGUUGUAGGCAGUGCUUCCGCAGCAAUGCGAAGGAAAUAGGCUUCAUCAAGUACCGCUGAAUGGAGAACUCGUUGAUAUCUGUUUUUGAAGGCUCUGUCUGAAAUAUAAAAAAACUGGGAGAGAGAACAGGACGUACAACACAGAGGGCUGCACCGAGGAUACCAGGAGGAACAAUCACCGAGAAGAACCAGAGAGGAGAACGACUAGAGAGAAACCAAAUAAAAAAAAGGCAGAGGCAGAAUUGAAGAAAGGAGCGUUAUUGACCAACAACCUCACAUCUUCGUCUGUUUCAGUUACCAACGACUGUGCGUAAAAGUUUCAGCGCCAUCGUCUUCUUCUGUCUCAGUUACAGCCUCCAGAAACAGAAGCGAAAGAACAAGGAAAACACAAAAAUAGGAGGAAGUGAACCGGAAGAAGAGAGCAAAGGAAGGGGAGAGGAGCAACCGAACAACGAAGUUAAAAAAUACAGGUAGCAGAGGAGGUCAGCAGCAACUUUUUAUUUUCUCUAGAACCAGGUAUGUUCAUUCCUUUCUCCGUUUUUUUUAAAAAAAAAAAAGAAAAAAAAAGUGAUACAUGUUAGUCUAGAAAAACAGUAAGAAAGUGUAAGAAAAUUAAAGAUAGGAGUCGUUGUUCUGCGGUUUAUUACUAACUAGGGGGGGCUGUUCUUUGGCUAUCUGCAAAAGAAAGAAGAAGCAUGAACAGUGCGAAGGUAGAAGGUAAUUUAAUUACCUUCGCACUGCUGAUGCACGCGUAAAGAUUUACGCGUGCAUGGUGUAAUUGGGUCACUGGCCUGCGGCCACUGACCAGGCUGGGCUGGGUCUAGCCCAGCCCAUGUGGGCUGAGCUGGGCCCAGCCCAAAAAUAAAAAAAUGAAAAACAGAAAAAAAUAAAAAAAUAAAAAAAUAAAAAAAAAUAGAAAAAAUAAAAAAAUGUAUAUGCAUGAAUAAAAAUAAUAUAAAUUUAUUGGGUUAUUCACUGACGCCAGAGUCAGGAAUAAAAAUACCGGUUUAAAUUUAUAUUAUUUUUAUUCAUUGUAUUUUUAUUUUAGUUAGCUAGAAAAAUAAAAAAUAUGUGCGUGCAUAAAAAUAAAUUUAUUUCUAUUUAUUUAUUCACUAGCUCUAGAGUAUGGAAUAAAAAAAUAUUGAUCUAAUUAAUUUUCGUAGUUACGAAUUUUUACCAACGCCAGAGUUGGAAUUAUUCAAGCACGAAUAUUCACUGGCGCCAGAGUCAGGAAUAUUAUAAACAAAUCAUCAUAGCAUAAACUAAUAAACAUUUAGCAAUUUAAGACAAAAACUAGCAAUGCAGUCUGCCUUAGGCAGAACGUUUAAGGGGUGAUAAUAUCUUCCCUUUUACGUAACCAAUCCCGAGCCAUAGAAUCUCUAUUGACCAGUUAGGGUUCCUAAUGACCAUAAUACUAGGUGGCAACUCCUUAAACAAGACAUUUCCCUUAAAAGAACAAGAUACCAGAAAUCUGUUCUUUUUCCAUAAUUCAAGAGAAUGUUUUUUUGUGGGCCACCGCGAUGUCGGGUGUGACAACAAUCAAUAUUUUUUCUCUCUAAAAACUAAAAAGCUAGUCAGGCCUGGAAUGAGCAGCCAAUUGGACCGCUCACUCAUUUCUUUCUGUUAGCAUAUCCCUUGUCAUAACCCAAAUUUUAAUCAUUUUUAUUUUAAUUAUUAUUAUUUUAUUUACUGAAAAGGAUAAAAGAUGAUAAUAAUGAUGAAAAACAAGUAAAAUGAAAUAAAUAAUGAAUGGAUUAAAAUUUGGAUUAAAGGCAACAUGAUUGAAAGUUUUUAGAGUUUAAUUAAACUUUGAAAUUAAUCUAAUUAAUCCAAUCAAGGGUUUAAUUGGAGAAUUAAUAAGUUUUAAGAUUUAAUUGAGCUUGGAAUUAAUUUAAUUAAUCCAAUCAAGGGUUUAAUUGGAGAAUUGAUAAGUUUUGAGACUUAAUUGAGCUUGGAAUUAAUUUAAUUAAUCCAAUCAAGAGCUUAAUUGGAGAAUUGAUAAGUUUGAGACUUAAUUGGACUUGAAUUUAAUUAAAUUAAUGAUAUCAGGGACCUAAUUGAAGAAAUAGCAAAGUUUGGGGUUAAUUGGGGGCACAAUUGCAACAGAUUAAAGUCCAAGGACUAACUUGUAAAAGGCACUGAAAUGCAGGGGUCCAAUUACAAUUUAACUAGGGGCUUAAUUACAAAACUUUCCAAACUUCAAGGGCAAAAAUGUAUAUAGCUGUGAAUACCGAAACGACACCGUUUCCCGUUACUGUUCAUCUUCCUCACCUGACCGAAACGGACGCCCACCGCCGCACAACCAUUACUUCUGCAAUUAUCACACUUUAUGGUUGGAAGAAACGACAUUGUUUUCUCUGGCUAUAAAAGCCAUAGAACGACUGAGAAAAAAAGGGAACUGGGGACUGAAAGGGGGGAAAACAAUGGGAUUUUUGGACGAGAAGUCGAGAAAAAAAAACUCCAGCUAAACCCAAACGAAAAACCAGAGAAGAAAAGAAAAGAGAAAAAGCAGAGCAUAAAUCCAAAGCACAAAUUCACAGAGAGAAGGAGAAAAGGGAGGGGCAACACAGAGAAGAAUCAGCCUUGUUAUCGUCUUCGUCCCUGCAGAAAAAGAAGAACCCGAAGUUAGUAAAAAACUCAGUAAAGCUGGCAUAUGCGUUACUUUCUUAGUUAGCUCACCUCAAGAACUGAGAAGAAAGGAGAACAGUGAACGCAGAGGGGAGAAGGCAGAGAACACGAAUAGAAGAGGAAAACAGAGGAGAGCAGACGGUAAGUAAGGAAACCCAACAAACAGAAACACACGAACAGAGGGGAAGAGACUGAGAGGAGGAGGAAGAGAGAAUUCUCCGGGAGUGCUCGAGCACAAAAAAAUAUGUUAUGGGCUGGGCCACCAAAAUAAAUAAAUAAAUAAAAUAGAAAGUAUAGAAAUAAAUAUUUUUUUUUACAUGUGUUAGAAAAAAUAUUUUUAUCAACUUAUUCAAUUAUAUCAGGAUCAUGAAUGAAAAAAGAAAAUAUACUGAUUUUUUUAUAGCCAUGAAUUUUUAUCAAUACCAGAGUUGGAAUUAUUCAUGGUGGAAUUUUUUUUUUUUACCAACGCUAGAGUUGGAAUUAUUCAUGAUGGAAUUUUUACCAACGCUACAGUUGGAAUUAUUCAUGGUGGAAUUUUUACCAACGCUAGAGUUGGAAUUAUUCAAGAUUGAAUAUUCACUGACGCCAGAAUCAGGAAUAUUAUAAACAAAUCAUCAUAGCAUAAGCGAAUAAAUGUUUAGCAAUUUAAAACAAAAUCAGCAAUACAGUCUGCCUCAAGCAGAAAGUUUAAGGGGUGAUAAUAUCUUUCAUUUUACUUAACCAGUCCCGUAUCAUAGAAUCUCUGUUGACCAGUUAGGGUUCCUAGUGACCAUAAUACUAGAUGACGACUCCUUAAACAAGACCAUUCCCCAUUAAAAAACAGGAUGUCAGAAAUCCGUUCUUUCUAAAGAUAUAAUAAUUUUUAAGGCCGUCACAAUGUUGGGUGCGACAUCCCUUAGCUGUACAAGUCCCUCAUGGAUGAGGAGGCGGUACUUUUGAGAGGAAACAUGAUAGUUAACUUGAUUAUAAGAAAACGAGGAUGAUUUUGUUUGAUUUUGUUCAUAGCAGCUUAGGUGAAAAAGCUUAGGACCAUGCUUCAAAUCAUGAAUUUCAUGGCAUGACUAAAGAUGCAAUUACACAGCAUGUCGAGGAGGCAACAUCUCUUCUACUGCGAGUCUCACACAUCCAACAGUCCAGUCCAUGUCUAUUAACGAGUGAUUUCAAUUGUAAAAAGGAAAACUUCUGUAAAGUUAGAGUACAUUCGAUGCGAAAUUCAGAUGAAAUUUUAAGCAGAAAAUGAUCAAUAUAGAAGCAUGAAAUUUGACAUAAAUAUACAGAAGCAUUAGAAGUUUGCUUCAUGAAACCAGCAAAUCAUGAAUUUAGGAGAUAUAGAAAACUCUUCAUAUUAAAAAGGAAUGCAUCAACCAUUGGAGCAUCAAGAAAACCACAUUAGUAAUUGGUCUCCUUUUUCUAAUGCCCGCAUAAAAGGCAUACAGCAGCUAAAUUGCCACUUGCAGUACUAGUUUUGUUUUAUGAGCAGUCUUAUCGAGAUAUGCAUCUUUCUUACGAGGUGCGGAGAACAACUUUCAUUCUUCAACUCAGUGAAGAUAACAGAAAAGCAAGCUUCUCAAUAAAUAACUUGGAAUCUAAGAAGAGACGCAACUUGAAAACAUAGGAAGUAAAAAACUGAGAGAUUGUGAGAGACAAAAUUAAUAGUUGGAAAGAAAAAGAAACAAGUAACACCUGAUUCAGAACAUAGUAGACGUUAAAUUGGUUAGGAAAAAUGAUUGCCAGGUUAUCAAUCUCUUCCUGCAAACAAGCAAACAAAGUGGAUUAUGCUUAUUUAAUACAUCCAACAAAGAAAUGAGAGAGAGAGAGAGAGAGAUUUACCUUCAAAAGAAUGUCCUCAUAUGUGACAUUGGCAUAAAUAAGAUGUAUGUUCGUUUUGUCAUCUGGGUUUUCUAAUAUGGCUCUAGUUACCUAAGAAGCCAAAAGAAGAGAGAUAAGUAAUCAAUAAAUCAAACUGAUAAUUUUGGCCAGCUGCAAAAUAACAGAUUGUUUUAAAAAUAUAUACCUGGAACAUGGGAGUAAUUCCAGUGCCCCCAGCAAUCAUUCCAAAUGCUCUGACUUGGUUAGGUUGAUACUUGAAACGCCCCUAGAAAAAUCAUAUAAAUACAUCAAUUACCAACCUUUUGUGAUAAAGUUUCAGACAGCAAGUAAGAUGUGAUGCGGGCUCUGAUAACUGACAAGGUUUAUAGUAAAUCGGUUGUCAAGAAACCCAACCAUUUACGCAAAGCAAUGGUAGGAACCAUACAAAUGUUGCUCCUCAAAAUGGAAAAUCAAACUUUCUAGAGUAAAAGAGAUCAAAAUCACCUAACAAAUACCAAAUUGAUCUCAUAAACUAGCUGGGAAAUGUGGAAAAUCCUGAGGCAAAGAAAGGCAACUGAGGAAAGGAAAUAGCUUUACCUUAGGUCCCUUCACGGCCAAGUAAUCACCUACACGCAUUUCCGGAAGUGGUGGGACAUCCUACCUUGUGGAUACAUCUGUUUACAUGAAACAACAAAAUCAGGAUGACAAACCAAAAUAGUAGUUUUGCAAUAUCAUAAUGGAAUGAACGAACAGUACAGCCCGAAUCAAUCAACCUUUAUAACUAGUUCAAAGUAUCCAAUAUCACAAUCCAACGUUGUUGGGGUAUACGGCUUGACAACUUCUUCACCGACACUAUCCUUUCCCCUGUUGAUAACGAAAGGUUAGUUUAGUUAUUCAUCGUAUAUGCCAACUGAACACAAAAAAAUAGAAUUCACCAAUCAGGCAUUCGCUAUGGUAGAAAUUCAAGACAAAGCGAACCUGCAACUCAUAUGUUGUCCAAUUGGCAGUCCCAAAACUGAAUUCGGUGUGGGAAGAGCAAAUUUAAACUUGGCCACAUUAUGACUCAGUUCGGUUCUCUUAACAAGUUUAUAUUCCUUGAAAUUUUCAGGGUCCAAGCAACCUAUCAAGACAUGACAAGGCAUUAAUCAAUUUGCACAAAUCUUGAUUUAUAUCCACAAAGCUUUAAGUUUUGAUUCCAUAGCCAAGAUAACCAAUUCUGCAUUUACCAAUAAUAAGAAGCUACGAUUGCUAGUAAUUCUAGACAAUCUACAAUCCCAACAAAUGGAUUCUUCUCUUUUUGCACCAAAAUUAAUCAAACAGCUGAUAAAUUUGAAAACUUGAGCAUUCCUAACACAUAAUAAUUAGACCCACUGAAAAAAACAAAAAAACUUCAAACUUUAUAAACAAUCAGCAAAAAUAACAAAAACCCAGAUACUAAAAUACAAAAAAAAAAAACAUACCUUUAGGCUUCUUGGUGAUGUAGAAAUAAAAAGCAGUGCCAGCACCAAUGGCAACAAGAGCCACAGCAAUGCUUAUCAUUUCCACUCUAUGAGACUGUAAACUUUCCAUUUUGGAUCCAACAGGAAGAGAGAGAGUGUUUGUGCUACAAAGGGACUGGCUUUUGCCUCUCUCUUCCCUUCUCAGUAAAAUUUUGGCUGUUUGGUGGAUUCAGGAAGCAGGACUGGCUCAUGGAAGUACUUUUAUGGGUGCAUGAGAAAUUUUCUAAAGUCCUUGCUACAGAUGAUAAUAGCUCCAAGGCGUUGAAUUUUAGAUACAGUUAAGGGUAAAGUACUUUUUGACCAUAUAGAUUUACCAAUACUCCAUUAUCAUCCUUAUAUUUUAAAAUCUUCAAUUAUUAUUCUUUAUAGUUCCUAAAAACUAAAAAGUUAAUAAUGGAAAAGGCACCUUUUUUUCAUUUUUCCUAUUGUUUCAUGUGAUAAUAUAAAAGAAAUGAAAAAUAAAACUCAUAAGUGAAAUUUAUAAAGAAAGAUUACAUAAGAUUAUGCUUGCUAUUUAAUGCUUGGAUUUUGAAAAUCUAUAUGCUAAUCCCUUUACUUUUGUUGAAUCCUUGUUUUUUUAUAUAAAAAAUAUAGAGUGGGUUUCUCUAAUAAUAUUUUGUGAUUAAGAAAAAAAAAUAUUUGAAACUCCUGCUCAUCUGAUAUUGUUGGUCCACAUGCAUAGCAAGAUCUUGGGUUGUAUCUGCAUGCAGUGAAAAUAUAAAUGUCAAAUCUUUAAAGAAAAUCUAAAGUGAUGUUGGUGUGCAGUCACGUGCCCCCUGUAUUGUAGUUAGCUAUUGUUUUUUCAUCAGAUGUAACCAUGUAACCAUCAGAUGUAUAACGAUGUGUUAAAUGCCCAUGAAGAGUCCAAAGACUUGGAAGGUGCUCAAAGAUCUUAUAAAAGAAGUUCAAUCAUUGAACAAAGAGAAAGAGGCAGCAGAGAAACAACAAACAGAAGCAAUAAAGAAGCAGACAGAGCUUGAACUUGAUGUGAAAGAUAUGCUAGAGAGAUUUUCUUGAAAUAUUCAAGCCAAAGUAUUAAACUCUAAUAGAGAAAUGUUAGUUAUUUUUGAAGGAUAAAGAAUGGUGAAUGUUUUUAUUCAAUGUAUGCACAUGCUUUCAGUAUGAUGCCAUGAAGCAACUUGAUAUUCUACAGAAAGAAAUACAAGAUUCUCAGAAAGAGCUCAACAAAAUCAGUCCCAUCUAUGAAGAACACCUUUCAAAGGAAAAGGAUAUCAUCAAGAUGUAAGCCAAGAAUUCUCAGUUUUGCGCAUGCUUUUGCAUGUUCUAGAUGGACCAGGCACUAUUGUUUUGUCCACUACUAGAAUUCUGAGAUUGCUUGGUCCUAGUGUAUGGCUUUUAGUCUUGUCUGGUACUCAAAGUGAACAUGCUGAAGAUCAGACUACAUUCAGAUAGUGUCCAGGGUUUGCUGCAGCUCCAUUACUUCAAACAUGUAAAGGAGGCCUUAGAUCAGUCAUGAUGUCAAGUCAGGAAAAAAAAAAUUCUGAUAGAUUUAUUCAGUAAAAAGUUUUUGUUUGCUUUCUUUUACAAAUUUCUUGAUUUUCUUUGCGCUCCUGAAGUGUAUUUUCUUUCUUGGCCUUUGAUGGUUCAUUGUCUAUGCCAAAAUAGCACAUUUAUUUGGGAGAAAAGCUUGUGCCAUGUGUAGUACCUUUCUUUCAUAAACGCUUUUGGCAACUUGCAGAAUAAUAGAGCAUGAAAAGCAGCUUAGCAUACUUUAUCAAAAACAAGGUCGUGCAACCCAGUUUUCCAGCAAAGCUACCCGUGACAAAUGGCUUCAAAAGAAAAUUGAUGAUUUACAACGAGUUCUUUCUUCAAAUUUGGCUCAGGCAAGAGUUCACAUUAAUCUAUUAUGAUACUUGAACAUCAUCUCAGAUGAACUAUUGUUGUCAGGAUUUUCCUAGUAGAUAGAUUAGGAGACACUUUCUUAUCACAUGCCCAUCAUUUAAUUAAGAGAGGACCAGGCCUCUUAUCAGAUAAUUCAAAGAUCAAAACACAAUGUCAAGUUUUUUUUUUAAUAGAAUGAUUAACCUCAUUGGUAUAUUGUUUGUUCAAUUUCUUGUAUCCUGUUUCCAAUCCAUGGAUUACAGCCCUUAUAGGCUAGUUGUCCUUGGUGUCUUUUUCCUCCUUUUCUUUUGUUCUUGGGUAUGCAAUCUCAGGAGGUCACUCUUUAGUAAAUUUAGGUGUGAAAAGAACAAUGUUAGCACUUCUUGACUAGUACAGGUAUACCUUAGAAAAGGCUAAAAUGUAAGGUCUCUUUUCAACUAAAAGUUUCUGUAAAUUACUCCCUAAGUUAUAAUUUCAACUGAAAGUGCCUCUCACAUUAGUUUUUUGUUCUUUACUGUCAAUAAACAAAUGCAUACAACUGACAUAACACAUAUAAUAAAACAUAUUGUAGAUGGAGGAUUUGCUAAUAAGUAAUUCGAACAUCAUUAUUUAAGAAUUAAUUGGGAUUUUAUUCCUGGCUUGGGUUGACCUUGUAGGGUUUGGAGCACCUAUAUUUGCACAUGUAUUUCGGAGUCUUAAUACUAGAAGCAUGUUUUGAGUUUCUGCUAUUUUGAAUAAUUCCUUGCUUGUGGAUGUCAACAAUUCCACUUGUAGAUUCAAGGAGGCUUCCUGUGGAUUUCUAGAUUUUUUUUCUUCCCUUCAUUCCUUGUUGGGUAUUUUUUUUCAUUUUAGCCCUUAGUAAACUGGACCAAGGAACUGGAACUUUCAUGCUAUGAGAAAUAAUUAAUUUUUCUUUUCUGCAUGAACUGGACAUUUUGAGGAGAAAGAUGUUACACUUUCCAUAUGCUGUCCUGGCUUCAAAUGUUCGGCAUUUAUUCUGCUUUGGUGCAAUCUCUGGAUUGUGUAUGUGCCAUGGCUAUGGUGUCUAGGACCUAUAGCAGUAAGUAAUAGGUGCCCACCAUUAAACGAAAAGCAAGAGCCAUAAGAGAAUUUAUACUUCUAUGUUAAACUGUCUGCAAGGUUUGUGCAUGCCUGUUUGGAUUCAUUGAAGAAGUCUUGUUAGUUGGUUUGUGUAUGGAAUUGAACUUCUUAGCUAUGUUGUUGCAAGUCCAUGUGCCUCUCGUGCUGUUUCCUCAAUAUUAUGAUGCUAAAUAAGCUGUCUGCUUGUGUAUAUCCCCAGGAGCAAAAACUCCACGAAGAAAUUUAUAGGCUGAAUGCAGACUUAAAAGAGCGAGAUGCCUACAUUGAGAGUCGCAAAGCUGAAAUUGCAACCUUAGACUCUCUCAUUUUCCAGUCACGUGAAGGAUUCAAUAGUUAUAAAGCACAGAGAGACAAGCUGCAAGAUGAGCGGAAGUAUGGUUAUUUUUCUGUAUUUAUUUUGGUCAGGCUUACUGAAAGUACUCAGGUUGACCUUUUUUGUUUGUUUCUGUAGAUCAUUGUGGAAAAAGGAAAGUGAACUUUCUGCUGAAAUUGAUAAGCUAAGAACAGAAGUUGACAAGGCAGAGAAGAGCCUGGAUCAUGCGUGAGUAAUUUCUUCCUUUAUUUAUUUAGCUUUUAAUUUUACAAACUUAGUUAUCAAAAUGCCUCCAUGAGUAUGAACAGCUUGAAUUGAACUUGACAAAAAGCUUCUUUGAUCUUUGAUUGUUUCAUUACAACCAAGUUCAAGCGUCACAGCGAGGCUUGUUUGUGAUGAAGUCAAGACCAAUCAGGCCCAUGCUUGCCUUGAAUGGGCCCAUGAACAUGAACUUUCAGGCCCACUUUACUCACCUUAAUUUGUACUUGAGAUCCUUGUGUAAUAUUUUUAGAAUACAAGCUAAAAUGGUUAGCAGUUUAAUGAACAAAAUUGACUAUGUUUCAUGCCUGGGCGGCAUGCCAGCCUCGUUCUUUUUUUAAUUAAUUCUUACAUUUCUCUGGCUUCUGUUUGUCUCAACACUGAUAAAAUCACUUGCCAUGUGACCAGUCGUUUGUGAAUGAACUGAGCAUUUGGGCCAAGCUCAAGAAGUUGCAAGCUGUGAGGAGAGGGCUCAAUUCUAUUCGGCGUAUCUGCAGAGAGUACAAAAUUAGUGGAGUUUUCGGUCCAAUAAUAGAGCUGCUUGAUUGUGAUGAGAAAUAUUUUACUGCUGUUGAAGUUACAGCUGGAAACAGGUAUGUAAAAUCUAUUCUAUUAUGUUCAUUGUUUUCUCUCUUGGAGUCGUGUUCUCAAUCUGCUUGACAAGCUGGCAUGCUUGCCAUUAGUCUUUUGACCUUAUGCUUUGAUCACUUCAUCGUUGAAUGAUUUACUUAACAUCUGUUUGUCAUUUGAGCAGCUUAUUUCAUGUUGUGGUUGAGGAUGAUAACAUAUCAAUUCAGAUAAUUAGGCAUCUUAAUGCAUUGAAAGGAGGACGAGUUACUUUCAUUCCACUGAACAGGGUAAAGGCACCUCGAGUAACUUAUCCACAGAGUUCUGAUGUGGUACCUUUGCUAAAGAAGUUGAAGUUCUCUCCCAAUUUUACACCAGCAUUUGCCCAGGUUAGUUCUCCCUCAUGUUUGUUCUUACUGAAACGGUAUUGACCCAGCAGAAACAUUGAUGUGAGUUUUGUUGUUAGAAAUUUAUAUGUUGGACUGCACAUAACUGAAAAUCAGUAAUUUCUUGUGCUAUUUUGUUCUAGAAGGUUAUUUCUCUGUGUUUUCUAUCAAUUGAUUAGUGAUGUUUUCAAUAGUUAUUUACUGAAUUUAUUUAUUUUUUGUGAGAAGCUUGUAGUGAUUGCUUUGGGAAUCUAGAUAUUGAUGGGAAAAAGUUUGAACUUGUUAAUUUUGGGUGAUUGGCACUAACUUUAAAAAAGUAAGUGAAGGCUAUGAAGUACCUCCACAUAUGCUACUUUCGUCCACCACUAACCACAAUGCUAGACUUGUGAAGUGAAACACUUUUUUCCUGAUGUGAUAUUUGUGCAUUGUUAAAUUAUUUGAUUGGCAUGUUCUUGGAUUGUUAAACGUUGUUGAUGCCAUUGGUCUUGUAUAUAAAUGUGUUCACACUUUUUGAAAAUUUGCAUGAGCUAAAACUGUUAUGAUGUUGAUACAACUCUUGGAGUGGUGUGGGAUGUGCUACAUGCUUAUAUUACCACAUAUUCUUUCUUUUUCUCUAGGUAUUUGCUAGAACUAUGAUCUGUCGAGAUUUGAAUGUGGCCAUAAGAGUUGCCCGAACUGAUGGUUUGGACUGCAUAACUGUGGAUGGUUAGCUUAGAAAUCUAAGUUUUUAUUUUGCACAAUGACUUUAUAUGUGAUCGAGAUGCCUUAACAAUUUACUACUGAUCAGGUGAUCAAGUAAGCAAGAAAGGUGGUAUGACAGGGGGCUUUUAUGACCAUCGGCGCUCAAAGUUAAAGUUUAUGAACAUGAUUAUGCAGAAUACAAAAUCUAUUAACAUUAAGGAAGAAGAACUGGAAAAAGUCAGAUUUAUGCUACAAGAUAUCCUUUUUCACUAUUAUUUUUUUAAAAUUCUUUUUGAAUGAGUGCUUUUAGUUUAUGCAUUCAUUUAAUUGUAAAACUAGGGUAUGAUUUCUUGUCCAUAGUCGUGAAAAAGGUCUAAAUACAUCCCUCGUGCUAUCUUACUCCAAAAUUUUUUGAAGAAAGAAUAAACUAACCUUUGCUUCCUCAAAUAUUUCUUCAACAUUAGGCAACCCAUUGAAAAAUUUCUUGAACAAAAAGUCUAAUCCUUCACAGUUCUUGAAGAAAGAAUAUUCUAACAGCUGAUCAGCAGAAGGUCUCUUUGAAGGGUCUUGAUUGAGACAGGAAGCCACCAUAUCUUUGAACUCUUCAGAAAACUUGUUGUUCUUGAAAUCUUUGCUGUGCUUCUCAUGAAUCAUGAUAAUCAAAGAACCACCCAAAUCUCUUCUUUAUCUUCAUGAUCAAAGACUUUGAAGGAGGAAUGAGGUGAGAGAAAGGAGGUCCACCAUGUGCUCAUUCUAAGGCAGUAAUACCGAAAGACCAUUUAUCAGACUUGAAACUAGCUAUAACCUGUAUCUGAGAAAUUUAUAACCUCUGGUGCCAUCCAGUAUGGGGUCCCUGAAAAAUCAGUUAACCUCAUUGUUGAUGAGGAAGACGAUGAGGAUGAUUUCACAAUGAUACUUGAGUCGUAAAUCGAGACUGGCAUGCCAGAAUACUCCAUGUGUAUACUAACACAGGUAAUUUUCCAUGAAUUUUUUAUGAAAAAGAUAUAUCAUUAUAAUAUUUGGAUGUAGAUACUUUUUAUUUUUAUAUUUUUUGCAUGGAUAGCUAAAUUGAUUUCCAGUGAUGAACCAUUACUGAAAUGAUCUGAUUCAUCUUUAUGGCUGGUGCAGCCAAACUCUGAUGGUCUGACGGAGGACUGAUAAAUCGAUCUAUACGAGGAUGCCGUGAUAAAUUUGUUUGCUGUUACAAUGUUCUAUAUUUUCUCUGCUGGAAUCUCAAGAUUGUAUAGAAAUAGAUGUUAAACAGCUCAGAGCUAUAUUAUUAGCACAGCUUCUCAUGUCUGUCUUCAAUAUUAGCCUAGGAACUAGUUCAGUAUCAAAAUUGAUGGAAACCUUGGAGAUCUGCAGCUGUGCGGAUGUUUUACCUAGGCAAGUAUGCAAACCAUGUUUUUCAAUAUGUUCUGUUAUUUACAUUUUGGAAAAAUUCUCAUUCUUGGCACUGUUGCUGAAUGGAUUUCUAUCAGCCUUCAUGUCGCGCUUCUAGAUGCUUUCUCCCAAUUAAAACCUGCGGCACAGCUGCAAAAUUGGUGGGUCCUACCAGCAUAAAACAUUAUUUUUUUUGUUAACCAAACGGUAGUAGCCACACUACCCAACGCUCACAUAUUUAAGAGGGGAUUUCAUUCAGAUUUCAAAAUUUGGAGGCAUAUCAUGGGCUGAAAAUGACGUGGGAAAGGUGCUGCCAAAGCUCCCAUGUCCACGUUAAAUCUUUCCCAUUCCUGAGAUAAUUAAAGAUAUCAUUUAGUAAUUUUGGUGCCAGUCAUUCACUUCACAUUUAGCAGUGUGUUAACAUAUGUUUUUUAAAUUACUUUUACAAUUAAAAAUGUAUUAAAAUAUUUUUUAUUUUUUAAAAUUUAUUUUUAACAUUAACAAAUACAACUUAAAAAUACAAAAAAAAUUAAUUUAAAAUAAAAAUAAUCUUUUUUUAUUUUUUUCAAAAAAUCUUUAAAACCAAAAAACAAAUGGGCUCUUGAUACAAUGCUUGACCACCUCUAGGGACCACUGGUUCCCUGACUUGCGCUAUGUCACAUGCUAACUAUUUUUUUAUCACAUAAAAAAUAUUUUAAAAAAGGUUAAAUAUAGUUUUAAAAAAUAAAAAUAUAAUGUUCAGGAAAUUAACUCAAAUGAAUUUAAUAAACUUAAUUAAUUUAAUAAUAUCAUUAAAAAAUAAGAUAUCAACAACAAAUAAAGUGGAAAAAAACAACAAUUCUUAGUAAAAGAUAAAUGCUUGUUAAUGUUAUAAAAAUAUAUCUGUAUAAUAUUUUCAAAAUAUCUCAAUGAUCUUAUUUGUCAAUAAAAUAAAAAUUAAAUAGAAAUAAAAUAAAAAAUUAAUGUUAACUUUUCGAACCAUAAUUGGAUCAUAAUACCUUAGCUUGCAGAAACGAGAAAAUAUUCCAAUAUGGCUGCCUUUGUGGGGUAUAGUGUAUUCUAAGGAGGGACUUUUCUUUUCCCUGUCUGUUUCUCCUACUGGUUUCUUUCACACCAUUUAUUUUAGCCUUCAUGAUUCAUUAAUUAUUGGGGCCUCAUUGACUCAUGACUUCGGAUGGGAUGUUUUCCGAACUUGAAAGAAUAGAUUCAUUGACCUGAUCAUCUCGGAAUUGGUCAUAUGAUGAGUGUUUUCUGUCAGUCUCUCUUUGCUAUAUAUUGUCUACCAGGAAAUGAAGUUGCACAAUUAAAAAUUAGAGGGAGAGAAUUGGUUUGGAGCUGCUUUGUGUAUAGAAAAUGAUACUUCAGAGGAGGGUGUUUUUGCUGAUGAUGUUGCUGCUAGUGGCUGCAGUAACAGGAGCAACAGCAAAUCCAGAUGUGAGAGAUGGCUGCCGAGAAAGGUGUGGGGAUGUUAUUGUUCCUUACCCGUUCGGGAUUGGGGAACAAAGAUGUGCCAUGAAUGAAAACUUCUUUCUAAAUUGCACUUCUACUGAUGAACUGUGGUUUCGAGAGGACAUGCCUGCUCGCAAUAUAUCAUUGCUCAAUGGCACAGUCACUGUAGGCAUUGAUACAUCGUUCGAUUGCUAUGACAAGUCAGGGAGGCAGUUGGGGCUUUUCAAUCAGUCUAUCUCACUUGGAUCAGGCCCCUUCACAUUUUCAGACUCUCGAAAUGUUUUCACAGUAGUUGGUUGUGACACCGCUGCGAUGGUGACCAACGAGGAUGUGACAUCCGGGUUUGGUUGUCUCUCUUUAUGCACUGUAAAUGUUACCAUGCCAAAGAAUAAUUCCUGCUCAGGUUCUGGAUGCUGCCAGACCUCGAUUCCCAGGGUCUCAAGUCUGGAUAUUACCAUUGGAGCACUGACUACCACAUGAAUGUUUCCGAAUUUAACCCUGUGGCUUUGCAUUCCUUGAGGACAAAGACUCCCUUGACCUGUCGGAUUGGCCACUCUCUCGAACUCCAAAUAAUGAUACAUCAAAUGUUGUGAUCGAAUGGGUAGCUCAAACCGAGACAUGCGAAGAGGCUCAGGCCAAUAAGAGUUCAUAUGCUUGUGGCAUCAAUACAAAUUGCUAUUACUCUGAUAAUGGUCAAGGAUAUCGUUGCGCAUGCAAAAAAGGAUUCGAAGGAAACCCAUAUCUUGAACAAGGGUGCCAAGGUAAAGCGACAUAUGCCUUCAGUAGUUACGUAAUUGAAAUUAAAAGAUUGUUCAUUCCUCUUCUCAGAUAUUGAUGAAACAAAACAACUUCUAAAUGCGUAGACUAAAUUUUAUUGAAUUAAGGUAAACUCAUAAUCUGUUAUGUUUUGCAGAUAUUGAUGAGUGCAAGGAUCCUGAAACAUACACGUGUCAUGGUAAAUGUCACAACACCAUUGGGGGAUUACGAAUGCAAAUGUACUCUUGGCAUGCAUGGUGAUGGCAAAGUAGGUUGCGGUGGGUUUGGGAUCAUCACAAUUAUUAUUUCGGUAAUUAAUGUGCAUCCACUUCAAUACGUGGCAGUGGCAGGUGUUCCUUGUUUUUCAACUAUCCUAUACGUAAUUUAUUAAUCCAUCCAUCCAGAACAAUAAGUUGAGCUAUCAUUUACUAGGGCUUUGCCUUUUGGGUUCAAAACAAUAAAACGGAACUAAUAUAUUUCACUUACAAAAUUAGACUAAUCGAAAAACUAGUUUAUUCUAACAUAGGAUUAAAAAAAAAAAAGUUUACCACGUUUGUCUUUCUUGAAAAUCUUAUGAUAAUUUUAAAAAAAAAAUAAUUCUUCAAAAUUUUAAAGGAAUAAUUAUUUUUUCUUGAAAAGCUAUGACAAAACCUUUUCGAAGAUGCUCAAAAAGUAGAUCAUCUUAGUCUUUCUUGAAAAUUUCAUGAAACAUAAAAAAUUAAUUGUUUAAAACAAAUUUUAAUUCCUUAAAACUUUAAAGGAAUAAGAAAAUUUCAAAAUUGCUUAUUGAUUAACAUUUUUUUGCAAUAUAAUAAUGAUUAAUGACUCGAUCGUAUAAUAUAAUAUGUAUAGAUAUUCAUAUCUAUUAUAUUAUAACUUGUAGAUUUUUUAUAAUUGAUGAAAAUAUACUUUUAUAUAUUAAUACAUAUUGAAGAGUAGGGUUAGACUGAGCGAUUUAUCUUAUUAAAUAUUAAAAAAUUUAGGAACAUGGUACAACCUAUGUUCUAAAAGAAAAUUAGAAGUUCUUGCUUAUGAUGUUUUUUAUUAUUAUUUUUUUAUUAAUGUGAACAUUAAAUAAUGACAAAUCAUGAAAUUAUUAUUAUUCUUAUUAUUUUUCCCCUGAGAAAUGCAGUUGUUGUUGGAGUUGUUGGAGUGUUGUUACUGGUCAUUGGUGGUUGGUGGCUGUACAAAAUCAUGGAGAAAAGGAAGAGCAUAAAACUGAAACAGAAGUUUUUCAGACAGAAUGGUGGUCUCUUGUUACAGCAACAAUUAUCCUCAAGUGAUCAAGGUAUUUCCAAAACCAAAGUAUUUAGCUCAGAGGAGUUGGAAACUGCCACAGAUGGUUUCAAUGUGAACAGGAUACUUGGUCAAGGUGGCCAAGGUACCGUGUACAAAGGGAUGCUAGCAGAUGGAGUAAUUGUUGCGGUCAAAAGGUCCACAAUGGUGAGUGAAGAAAACCUUGAAGGAUUCAUCAACGAGGUCUGUAUUCUUUCACAAAUCAACCAAAGAAAUAUAGUCAGGCUACUUGGUUGCUGUUUGGAGGCAGAAGUUCCUCUUUUAGUUUAUGAAUUUAUUCCUAAUGGAACUCUUUACGAGUAUCUCCAUCGCCAAAAUGAGGAGUUCCCUUUAUCAUGGGAAAUGAGAUUACAGAUUGCUGCUGAAACUGCCGGAGCACUUUGCUAUCUUCACUCAGCAGCUUCCAUUCCAAUUUAUCAUCGAGAUAUAAAGUCCACCAACAUACUCUUAGAUCACAAGUAUCGCGCAAAGAUUGCCGAUUUCGGGACUUCAAGAUCACUCUCCGUUGAUCAAACUCAUUUGACGACUAAUGUGCAAGGCACCUAUGGUUACUUGGACCCAGAAUACUUUUGGUCCAGUCAGUAUACAGAUAAGAGUGAUGUCUAUAGUUUUGGAGUAGUUCUUGCUGAGCUCUUAACUAGACAAAAAGCAAUUCUUACAAACGAGUCACAAGAACGCAAAAACUUGGCUGCACAUUUUGUUCUUUUGAUGGAAGAGAACAGAAUUUUUGAUAUUGUUGAUGCUCAAAUUAAGGAGCACUGCCCCAAGGAGGAUGUCAUCGGUGUAGCUAAUAUUGCAAUGAGAUGCUUGAAUUUGAACGGAAAAAAGCGACCGACAAUGAAACAAGUCACAUCAGAGUUGGAGAGGAUCAUUCAAUUGUCACAAAAGAAGGACGUUCAACAAAAUAACGAAGAAGCUGAGAGCAUCACGGCUGAAGUAAUCAGUGCGCGGGAUGAUGCUUCUACAUCAAUUACUUGCAGCAGUUUUCAAGUUGAUCAAGCUCUAUCAUCAUCUGAUGUCGAACCUUUGGUCCCUUUCAAGACUUGGUGA